AUCCUGAUUCAGAUGCAUGUUCAUCUACUUUUAGUGCAAUGUUAAUGUUUCUUCUUCUUAGGAACACUUAGGGUCAUCUCCAAUUGAAGGGAGCCAACUAUCUCAUCUAGCUUAAUUGAAUCAACAGUGUUCCAUUCCUCUAGUGUUAUGACCUCAGGUCUAAAACGAUCAGAGGGGAUCUUAACAGUUUUCAGGUAACCUUGGAAUCAAGUAUAUUCAGGGAUCUUACAUAGAUUGAAAAUCAGCAUUCACAAUGUCUAUGAUUUCAAUAAUAUAUUCAGAAAAUGUUUUUGUUGUGAUCAUUUGAAAUUCAUUCCUUCACCUAUCCCAACUAUACAUAGUUUUUCCUACCCUAGUGGAUAUAUAUCCCAUCUCUAUCUAGCACCAUAUCAGGAUAUCAACCAAAUUGAACAGAACUCCAAUCUCUAUCAGACUUCAUUUUCAGGAAGUACAUCUGUUUUACCUUGGAAUGAGCAUAAUUAUCUCCUUUGAAGUAUGGAGGUCUACCUAUAGAGGUUCCUUCUCGGUGAAUUUCCAUCUUAAGAGAAUAUAGUUUAUCCAUAUUGAGAGCAUGAGUAAACAUGUUUUGAUAUGAUUUAUGAGUUUUUAAGAGAGUAUGCUAUGAACUUGAGAUCUUUUUUAGAUGAUCAAAUAACAUAUGCACAUGAAUGUGAUUAAGUGAUUAGCACAAGGUCAUACGCUAAAAUGUCUCUAAUGAAAUCUCAGCAAACAAGCACACAAAUAUUGCACAAGAUAUAACAUAAAAAAUCUCUAAGGGGAGAAAGGAAAUAAAUAAAUAAAUAACAAUGGGUGCCUUUGUUGUUGCAAAUCCACUAUGAAUAUAAAUCCAGUUUUGCCUACAAGUCCUCCCAGAUCAAUCACCAAUCCCCUUAAGGAAUCCUCAGAGUGAUUAUUUCUUCAAUCCACACCUCUUUUUUAUAUGCUUCAAUAUGGCUCAUCAUGUGCUCACCACCAAUCUCUCGACAUAGCCUCCUUCAACUAUCUUCAAUUACCACGAUUUCUCUUCUCCUCCACUAAUUACAUUACAACAGAAUCACCUUCACUAUCUCAUUGAAGUGAUCUCCAAAAACUAUAAAACAAAAAUUCUAUUUGCAAAGCAACUUCUUCUUCAUAUAGAUUCAGAGAACCAAAAUAAGAAGAUGUUUUCACCUGUAGCAAAAUCUUCAUGUAGAUUUAGAGAACUGAAAUUGUAACUUCAAAUUCACUCUUAGAAUCUCAAUUAAGGUAAAGCUCUCUCACAUUUCAAAAUCCCCCACCAAGAGUUUCGCUUACUCUUCAUUUUGGAAAUGAGAGUAGAACCAACUUAGUGCCGAGGGACAUAAGGCACACCCUUAUGGGCCUAUUGUCAUGCAAAUUUUAAGGUGGAGCAUCCAACUAACUCAACAAAUGUUUUUUUGCUUCCAGCCAUUUGUUUCCAUGGUCUAGAAAAAUAUGUCCUAGAUGAUUCCCAUUGUUUCAACUCUUUCAUGAAAAAUGCUUCUCAAAUCACUCCGGUCUUUCACUCACAUUACAUGUGAACUCCAAUCUACAGUAGUGAAAUCCUAUUAACGAGCAACCUGGAACAAUUAGCUUAUCCUUUCAAUCCCAUUUUCAAGCUCAAUUCCCUCCACCAGUGAAAACAAAUGGUCUUAUAUGAUCAACUCCAUUCACUCCAGGGCUAUAAAGGAAACACUUGUGAGCUGGCAGGCAGUAGCUCCUCCCGACUCACCAUNNNNNNNNNNNNNNNNNNNNNNNNNNNNNNNNNNNNNNNNNNNNNNNNNNNNNNNNNNNNNNNNNNNNNNNNNNNNNNNNNNNNNNNNNGCAAUUCACCAAAGAAUGCAUAGGUGGCAAUGAGGUCCCAAUGGAGCUGUGCAUAUCUAACAGUCGCAGACUUGAAGGAAGCUCUGGAAUUUGUGAAAGCUUCAUGCAGUGACUCAAGUCAAGGGCUCUAAGGUUAGAGAGUUGACUGAUACCCACAAGUAUGUCACUGAGGGUUCCUCCUUCCUCUGGAUUGGACCGACUUAGAUCUAAUACUUCCAGUGAGGAUAGAUGGAAAAUACAAUGGAAGACUCCUCCAUUUAGAUUGCAGUUUCUUAGCCUUAAUUCUUUCAAUGCGUUCAAGCAGUUAUCACUCUUUAUUACUCCUGGUGUUAGAUUGCAUUGAUCUAAAUAUAGUUCCCUUAAGAGAGAUAAACCUGACAAAGAAGGCAAUUGACAACUGAGCGAAUUUAAAGAAAGAACCUCUAGACAUGGCAUUCUCUCCAGGUCCUCUGGCAAUCUGUCAAGUUUUGAGCAGCCUUCAAGACUUAGAACUUCAAGAAAUCUCAAAUUACAAAUGCUGUUCGGGAGACCCUCAAGGUUUUUACAAUUGUCCAAAUACAAGUUGCGAAGACCUUCUAGAAGUUCAAUCGAUGAUGGUAGCUCUUUAAUAGCUGUUUCAUCUAAACUAAGCACCUCUAGUUUUCCAAUGUUGCACUUGAUUUUUGGAAAACUAGUUAGUUUUGAACAGCCACUGCAAUGAAGAGUUAAAAGGUGCUUCAACUUAUGAAUGUCCCCAGGAAGACUCUCGAGGCUUACACACCCUAUAAAAUUCAAGGAAAAAAAAAGUUAGUUUUAUGACACUCUUAUAUGUGUGUGAACCUUAAGUAAAAUUAUACAACCUGAAAGAAUAAGUUCCUCCAAAUUUGGCACGUUUGAGAAAUUUGGUAAUUCAAUAAGCUGUUGUGAAUGACUGAGAUCGAUGUACCUUAAAUUUCUAAGACACUGGAACAAAAUAGAAUUUCUAUUAAUAAAUCAAUUUUAAAAAAUUUAAAAAUAUUAUGAAACAAAAGCAUAAAUAAAUAAUAAUCAUACCAUGUUUCCUUUCCAAAGUAGUUUUAUGUUACUAUUGCUCAAUUUGAGGAGAGCAAGAUCAUUUGGAUGAAAGUUUGAUGGUAGAGAUUCUAAAGAAUAUCCAUCCCAACUGAGACAUGUCAAGUCAUCAGACGAAAAUACAAAAUCUUCAGGAAGUUGUAUGCGAUUGUGGGAGACGACAAGCAAUCUAAGUCUAUUCAUCCUUUCGAAAGCUUUGCAUGUAAACUGUAUCUGUUCUGAUUUGUCCACAUCAAGGAAUAUCCCUUCAAUUUUUUCAGUCCCCUAGAUAAUAAGAGUAUAAAAUUAGAAAAGCACAAUACAUAUAAAUCCUUACUAAGGUGAUAAAGAUAAAUAACUUCUUGAACAAAACAUAUUUUCUAUAUAUAUAUAUCUUACCGUAUUUCUUUUUAAUACUCGAUAAAUAUCUGUAUGCCUCCAUAAUCUGCUCCUCUCUCCUGGCUCAUUAGGACAUUCUUCAUCAACAAUGCCCUUGCCCAUUUGGGCUAACAAAUCAUGCAUCUCUAUUGUCUUGUCCUUUGAAAUGGUUAUGAAACACCUAUCAACGAGAGCAUUUAUUCCACUUUCCGCAUUGAAUUCGGAACCAUCCAAUAUUCUUGAAACUAUUUCCACAUCACCUCCUUUAAAGAAACAUGCAAUGUCGAGAAAUAUCAUCCUUUGUGUAUAAUCCAAUCCAUCAAAACUUAUUUUAAGCACAUUUACAAUUUCCAUGUUAGGCACCUUUUCCAGCUUCCGCAAUUCGCUUUUCCAAUUUGGUAGUCUCUUUCCAAAUAAUAGAGAACCCAAAACUUUAAGUGCUAAUGGAAGACCAUCAGCAUAUCGUACUACUUGAUGAGAGAGAUCUGCAUAACCUUCCUUCAGAUGAUGUUGUUUAAAGGCAUAACGACAAAAAAGUUGAAGAGCUUCGUGAAAAUUUAAUUUCUUAACUUCAUAUAUAUCAUUCACUUCAUGCCUAGUUAGCAAAUCUUUUUUCCUAGUAGUAAUGAUGAUUCUACUUCCUGGACCAAACCAAUUAUGCUUUCCAAUCAAGUGUUCUAAUUGUGUCAGCUCAUCUACAUCAUCCAAAAAAACAAGAACCUUUUUUGAGGAAAGCUUAUCCCUUAUUAUUUUGAUACCUUCAUAAACAUUCUUUAAAACUAUUUGCCCCUUUGUCCUUAGAGUAUCAUCAAGAAGCUUUUGUUGUAACUUAAGAAGACCAGAAUUUUUUGUGGAUUCUUUCCUGACAUUUGUGAGCAAGCUAACACUUUCGAAUUGAUGUGAGAUUUGGUUAUAAAGAGCAUUGAUGAUGGUAGUCUUACCGAUUCCACCAAGACCAUAAACCCCGACCAUGCGAACAUCAUUCGACUCAAUCUUUAACAAUGAUAUUAGUUUUUCCAAACGAGAAUCCAUUCCAACAAUGUUCUCGUUAACACCUAAAAUCUUAGGUAAGUUUCCAUGAACGUUCUCAAUAAUUUCAUCAAUAAGCGUUGACUCAUACCUGCCAAUUGCAAAGCAUAAUAGAUCAUGUACUCAUGCAAUAGAAUGAGUAGCAAAAGACAAUAAAUUAUAUGAAAUAAAUUUAAUGAUGCCUACUUUUCCAACUAUAACUUAGCAGGGCUAAAAAUAAUUUAAAUUAAAAUAAAAUAAACCACAUCUAUCAAACUACUUAUGGGUACGAUUGCAUUAUUCUAUACAGUUGCUCGUGUGAUAGAAAUGAGGGAAGAAAAUGCAGAAUAUGAUUUGCAUUAUCAAAAGUGGAAAAAAGAAAUUGAAAUAUUUUUGUGUUAACUUGUCUACUCAAUCUUUUGGAAGGCUCAAAAUGAAGUUGACUUGUUUGGAAUAUUACUACCCUAUUUUGAUAAGGGAUUCCAUCACAGAAUCAACCACUAUUCUGCAUCCAAGCUUUUACGAUCAACGUUACCAUCUUUUGUACUUGCAUAACUUUCUCUCACCAUUCAUUUAGAUAAUGGUUCCCCUAGCUGUUCUUUAUUAUUAUUAUUAUUAUUUAUAAAUUUUUAUAAAAUUUUUUGAAAACCCUUUAAUCAAAAUAUAACUUUUAUAAAUUAAUUGAACAUAUUUUAUUUAUAAUUUUAAUUAUUUUGUCCGAAGGAAUUAAAAAAAUAUAUUUUAAAAGAAUAUCAAUUUUAACUUAAAAUAAUUUAGUAUAUUCUUUAUCAAGUGUAAAAUUUUAAUGAACAGAUUUUUAUUUUAUAAAAAAUAAAAAAUUUUAAAAUUUUAAAACUCACAUAGCUUUAAAUAUUUUUUAUAUCAGCAGACAGAGAAAAGGAGAGUACUUCAAGUGAAAAAUGAAAAGAAGUUACAAUUACCUGUUCUCCGCAACAUGUCCGGCUAGAUUGCCUGCUUGCUCCAUGGCAGUCCUCCAUUUCCUUAUCUUUUCCUUUCUCUCCUCGUCUGCAUUUUCCUCAUGACGGGUAAAUGCUUCUCCACAAAUCCCAGUUUGCUUCCGAACUUCAGACGGAUCCACAUUAUAGAAAAUUGGGAUAACUAUUUGUCCCCUUUCCUCUUUGCAUUCCAUGAUCUUGACAAGCUCGUCCAGACACCAUUUGGAAUGAGCAUAGGUUUUUGAGAAAACAAUAAUGGCAAUCCUUGAUUCUUCAAUAGCUUUUAAGAGCUCUGGUGCAAUCUCUUCUCCCCUUGGAAGCUCUUCAUCAUCUCUGAAGGUAUGAAUAUUGUUACGAAUCAAAGCCGAGUAGAGGUGAUCAGUAAAGCUUUUGCGAGUAUCUUCACCUCUAAAACUCAAAAACACAUCGUAGCUCCACUGAGAGUGAGAAGUGGAAGAAGAAGAGGGUCUCUGGAUGCUGGGGGAAGCCAUGGUUGAACAGAAAUUGGAGGAAAAAUAAGGGUCUUCGGGUACUGAGUAACUCAUUCCCCUAGCCUUACGUGAAGUUUGGAUGUUGGUGGUGGGAUGCGCUUUUUCUUUCUUAAUUAUUUCUCCCUAGCUGUAUCCCUCUAGCUUUGAAUGAUAGUGUGGUUCACAUGGUCAAGACCGCACUUCAAUCAUUUCCCUUCACUCUUUUCUUUUACAUUUUACUCACUUUUCUGAGUUUUCUCUUUUUGUCAGUCAACAAUGGCCGACAGUCUUGUCUCUGCCGUUUACAGCUGCUCUUUUCUUUUAUUCUAAAAUAAAAAAAAUAAAAAAUGAUCAAAUGGUCUUUGCUUAGCUCAUAAGAUCGUGUGAACGCACAUUAAAUUAAAGUUAUUCAAUUAAGUUUUGUCUUUUCCAUAGUGAGCAAUAUUAUAGUAGAAAAUAAAGGUUUAUUAAGUUGAUAUGUCAAGUAAAGCUAACAACUUUGGUAUUAUAAGCUUCAUUUUUGUAGAUAAAAAAUAUGAUAAUUCAUAUGACAAAAGGUAAAGAAAAUUUUGAUCUUGAAGAGUAGAAAGAAGCACAAAACCUUCAUGAAAUUUUAGGGAAGAAAGACCAUGCCCAAAACUCGAAAUUUAAAUUUUCACAGCCUUUUCACAUUUUGUAGUUGGCUUUAUUAUUAAUAGAAGCACAUAAAUAAAUAUUGUACUUAACCAUGUUACUUCUAAAAUUAAAUCCCAUUAAUUUAUAGGUCAUAAUGGCUUGUAUAGGUCAUCAUAGUAAUGAGUGUGAAGGUGGGUACUUCUAUAAAUAAUAGAUGAGAUUAAACCAAUUACCCUAAAAUUCAAAAGCACCUUUAUCAUAAAAGUCAUUGUCGUCGUAAUGGUAAUGAGGUUGGAGUAUUGGAUUAAAAUAACUUAUUUAUUAAAAAAAAUAUAAUAUUUAACAAAUUUUCGAAACUUAUGUUCAAAUUGAUUUUUUUUUUUAUACCAUGUAGGUGUCAUGUCAUUAAAAUUUAUUUAUUUUUAAUCAUUUUAGUUAAAAUCUCAGUUAGUAAAUCAUUUUAAUUAAAAUCUCAAUUAGUAACUAAGGCUUCAAUUUUUAACUAAAGUCGGUAAUUGUCAAUUAAGGCUUCAUUUUUUAAAUUGAAGCCUCAAUUGACAACUAAAGUUUCAUUUUUGAAUUAAAACCUCAAUUGGCAACUGAAUCUUCAAUUUUGAACUAAAACCACAGUUCCCAACUGAAGCUUUAAUUAUUUUUUUUAAAUAAAAUUUAUUAAAUUAUAAUUUAUGAUUGAAAUUUUAAAAAUAUACUUAAAUAAUAAAUUAUUUAUAUUUAAACUUAAGAAUCUAGUAUUACUUCAACAAACAUAAAUUGAUAAAUAGAAGAUAUUAUAAAUGAAUAUUUUAUUUAUUAAUAAAUUAAUAAUCUUAAAAUAAUAAAUUUACAUAACAUAUAAAUAAUAUAUAAAAUUGUAUAAUUUAUUAAUUUAAGAUAUUUAAUUUGUCGUUUUUUAAGAUAUUAAUUUAUUUGUAUUAUGACAAAUUUAUUUUUAUCGAAAUAAUAAUAUACUUUUAAGUCAUAGUUGCUAACUGAGAUUUCAAUUAUAAUUUUUUUUUUACUUUCAAAUUUAAUUAAAAACUAUUAAAUUAUAAUUUAUUAUUGAAAUUAAAAAUAUAUACUUUAAUAAUAAAUUAUUUAUAUUUAAACUUAAAAAUAUAGUAUUACUUCAACAAACAUAAAUUGAUAAAUAAAAUAUAUUAUAAAUAAAUAUUUUAUUUAUUAAUAAAUUAAUAAUCUUAAAAUAAUAAAUUUAUAUAACAUAUAAAUAAUAUAUAAAAUUGUAUAAUUUAUUAAUUUAAGAUAUUAAUUUAUUUUUAUAAUUUAAUAAUUUUUAAUUUAAAAAAAAUUAACUAGGACCUCAGUUGGAAAUUGAGACUUCAAUUUUAAAAUUUUAGUUUAAAAAUGAAACCUCAAUUGAUAACUGAGGUUUUAGUUCAAAAAUGAAGUCUCAGUUAUCAAUUGAGACUUUAACUAAAAUUAUGAAGAAAAAAAAAUUUAAUGAUAUGACACCUACAUGACACAAAGAGACCAAUUUGAACAUAAAUUUCAAAAAGUAAUUAAAUGUUUUUUUUUUUUUAAUAAAUUGACCAUUUUGACCCGAUACUCAAUGAGGUUAGGUAUAUUUUGAAAGAAUAGAAAACCCUAAAUUUCAAAAGAAUGUUUGAUUCUUGACAAUUUAUCCCCAAGAGCCUUAUUUUUUUACUUUUUAUCUUUUUAUUAUUAUUAUUAUCGUGAGGAUGGUUAAAGAUGAUAUAGAAGUCUUUCAAUGGUUUAAAAAAGAAAAAUGUGAGUGUUAAGUUGACAUUUUUGCCAUUUUAGAAAAUACUUAAUUUUAAGAUCAUUAAUAGGAAGAAAUAAAGAGUUCACAAAAAAUAAAGACAUUUUUAUUGAUUGAUCUAGGUAAUUGUGGACCCCGCAUUUCGGCUCAAUACGUUUUCCACUAGAUGGCGAGCUCGAUUUUGAUUUGAAAAAUGAUUUUUAUUGGUUAAAAGAAUGACUUGGAGUCGCCACUUAUUUUUGUUUUAUUUUUAAAGGGUAAACAAAAUAAGAAAGAAAAACCCUAAGUGUGACUCCUUGUUUUGGAAAAGGUGGUCUGUGAAAAACCGGAUCGGGUUCGGGGGUCAGGUUACUUAUUGGGAAGGUACGGUAGAGACCGUAGCACCCCUCUAAGUCCCUAAAGUCGGGUCUCUACUAAUAAAGUGAAACUGACGUGACAAUCGAAUAAGAAAGUCAAUGGAUACUCACAUCAAUCAUGCAUAUAUGAGAAUCAGAAUAUGUAUAGUGAAUGAUCAGAAUGAGUGAAUGCAUACCUGGGCAGCAAACAGCAACGCGCUAUCAAGAAACGGGAUUAGUGCACAAUUAAUGAAUACAAAACAUAGCUCAUACAUAUCGGAGUGCAAAGCGAAGCUCAAACAAAAUACAGUAAGCACGAAAAUUGACAGUCAAAAGGGGUCAAACAUAGGGCCCCCAACAAAGCCCGAUUUAUUGUUCAUGAGCUAAUCCCACAAAUCCCCUGUUUUGGAAUUAUGAAGGAAUCACUGUUGUUUAUGUAAAAUCAAGAAGAUCAGAAGAUUAUUUAGGAACUGAAAUGUGAUUAAGAACUAUUCGAGUGAAAACUGAAUUAUUGGAGCUUAUUUGAAAAUUGAAGUAUUUGGAAUUAAAUUUUGAAGAUUAGAGCUCUGGUGAUUAAAUCGAAAUUUUUAAAGAAAAUGAGAAACGGACUUUAGGAAAUUGAACUGCGAGACCAUAGACUUUUGAAAGUUGAAUUUAUAAUAAUGAUAGUAAUGAGGUCUUGAGAGGUUGAAUUAAUAAUAAUAAUAAUUAUAAGAUUUCGAAAGUUGAAUUUAUAAUAAUGAUAGUAAUGAGGUCUUGAGAGGUUGAAUUAAUAAUAAUAAUAAUUAUAAGAUUUCGAAAGUCUGAAUUGACGAUAAUAAUAACAAUAAUAAGAUUUUGAAGGUGUGAAUUAAUAAUAAUAAUAAUAAUAAGAUUUUGAGAAUUUGGAUUAAUGAUAAUAAUAAUAAUAAUAAAUAGAUUUUGAAAGUUGAGUUAACAAUAAUGAUAAUAAGAGAGUUUGGAUUAAUGAUGAUAAUAAUAAUAAUAAAUAGAUGUUGAAAGUGCGAAUUAAUGAUAACGAUAAUGAUGAGAUUUUGAAAGUUGGGAUUAAUGAUAAUAAUAAAUAAUAAUAAAUGGAUGUUGAAAAUGUGAAUUAAUGAUAAUGAUAAUGAUGAGAUUUUGGAGGUUUGGAUUAGUGAUAAUAAUAAGUUAUAAUAAAUAGAUUUUGAAAGUUGAGUUAAUAAUAAUAUUAAUAAUGAGAUUUUUGGAAGUUUGGGUUGAUGAUGAUAAUAAUAAUAAUAAAUAGACUUUGAAAGUUGGGUUUAUAAUAAUAAUAAUGAGGGUUUUGAAAGUUUGGAUUAAUGAUAGUAAUAAUAGUACUAAAUAGAUUUUGAAAGUUGAAGUAAUAAUAAUAAUAAUAAUGAGAUUUUUGAAAGUUUGGAUUAAUGAUGAUAAUAAUAAUAAUAAUAAAUAGAUGUUGAAAGUGUGAAAUAAUAAUGAUGAUAAUAAUGAGAUUUUGAAAGUUGGGAUUAAUGAUGAUAAUAAUAAUAGUAAUAAAUAGAUUUUGAAAUUUGUGAAAUAAUAAUGAUGAUAAUAAUGAGAUUUUGAAAGUUGGGUUAAUAAUAAUAAUAGUAAUGAAAUUUGUGAAUGUUGAGUUAGUAAUAAUAAUAGUAGGAUUUUGAAAGUUUGGAUUAAUGAUAAUAAUAAUAAGAAUAAAUAGAUUUUGAAAGUUGAGGUAAUAAUAAUAGUAAUAAGAUUUUGAGAGUUGAAUUAAUAAUAAUCAUAGUGAUAAUAAUAAUAAUAAUGACAAGAACAAUGAUAAUAAUAAUAAUAAUAAUAAUGACAAUAAUAAUAAUAAUAAUAAUAAUAAUAACAAUAAUAAUAACCAUAAUAAUAAUAAUAAUAACAAUGAUAACAAUAAUUAAUAAUAAUAAUAAUAAUAAAUGAUAACAUGCAUCCAUCAAACCCAAAGCCCAUAAGCAUGGAUCCACUAACAAGCCUCAUCUUCAACAAGCCCAGUCCAUAAGCCUAAACCCAUAAGCCUAAGCCCACAAGCCUAAGCCUAAGCCUCCAAAGCCCAUCAGCAAAGCUCAAGCCCAAAUCAAUGAGUAAGCCCAAGCCCUUUAUCACAUGCUCUUCUUCCUCAUCUCCGGAGACAGUGACGGAGAAAAAUGGAGGUGAGAGAGACAUCGUCGGAGGUCCUCGGAGUUGGUCCAAGCUGCCAUCCUCCCGCGCCACCUCGGACAUGCCCAACUGCAGCAGCCUAGUGUCGGUGUGGAGCCUGCUGCUGCAGCCUUCAUAGGAGCGUGGAGCUUCGUCGGCCGGAAUCUGGUCGUUGAGGAAGAGCUCAUGUGCUGACAGCAUCCUCGACGUCGUCGUCGCGGAGCUCCCAUAGUAGGCGAGCCAUGUGGAAGAUUCGAACCCGGCGCCGGUGGACGAUGAGGCUACGGUUAAAGUGGACGGCGUCGGCAUUACGCAAGGUGCGAAGUGCAUGGGGCUCACCGGAGUGCUGUAGAAGAAAAACACCGCUUCCGGAGCCGCGUCCUAGGCUGGAGGGAGCAUUGACGUGGGGGGUGGAGCUAGAGAGAGAAAAUGUGGUGGAAAUGAUAAUGGGUGAGUGUGGCGAGGGUUGACGGAGUUGGGGAUGUGCAUGAGAGAUGAUGGGCAUGAAGAGAUCCAAAAAAAAAAAAAAAAGAUGGGUAUGGUGAUCUCGGAUGUGAGUGGUUAAAUGGGGGUUUGUGAACAAAGCAUGAAUCAAUAAUGUCAAAGCACACUUAUAACUCAAACCUCAUCCAACAAUACAUCAACUACUAGCUAUCCAUAUCUGGAUCAAAGGGAAAAUGACCAGAAAAUAACUCAAGAAAGAAAGAAAAAAAUGGGACAAUCAGAUGCUAAGUAGGAGCAAGGAGUCAUCAAUGGCAUACCUGGGGACGCUCCCUUCUUCUUCAAGCUUCACUUUCCAAGAUCCCUCGAACCAGCCCGCUCUCCCCCUCCUCCUUCCUGUUGCCCUGGUCCCGCUUGCCUUUUCUUCUUUCCCCCGUUCUUUUUUUUCUCUUCGUGUCUUCUUCAGCAAGCCCGCCGUAUCCCGUCCCAUCUGCAGCCCAAAAGCUCUGCCUUCUUCCUGCUUUUCUUCCAACCGUCCUCGGGUGGAUAAAGAAAGUAGAAAAGAAGAAGAAAAAAAAAAGAAAAUGCAUGAAAAUAAAAAAAACCUGCCCCCAGUUGAGGGGGUCUACAGUAAUCCUUUCAUAGCUUUUAACUAUAACUUUGUUGAAAAUCUUACUCCUUCCUCCUUGUCUUCCUCUUAUAAUUUCUAAGUUUCAACUUUUUUUUUUUUCUUUUUAAUAAUAAUAUUGGUUUUAUGUUUUAAUGAAAUAGGUUGCAAAUUUGAAGAAAACAUAUUCUAAUGUAUUUAUUGAUUAUAGCUCUUUCUUCAAAAGGGUUAUCGUUAUUUACAUUCUCAAACUAAUCAAAUUUACAUCUCUAGAUAUGUAAUCAUUGAUGAGUUUGAGUUUUCCUUUACUAACAAAACUUCUACCAUAUCUUUCUUAUAGGAACAAAGUCAAAUGACCAUAUUUUGAGAUUUCGAUCAGCAGUCACAACCAUUCAAUCCAAACACCAACUCAACCCACAACUUCACUCCCACCAAACAACCUUUCAAACCAUCGUAAUAGUGUAGAUCUUCUAUUUUGUCUUUUUAACACAUCUCAUCUAAAUUUGUCUUUCUUACAUACUUUAACACCUUAUUAUGCACUUAUGGUCAUUUUUCUAAGCUGUUUUUUUUAAAUUAUCUUUUAUUCUUUGUGAUUAUGUUGAUUACUAAUUAUUUUAUUUUAUUUUAUUUUAUGCAAGAGUCAUUCUAAAGGGAUUAAAUGCAUUCCAAUAUUGAUUUUAAUGAUUUUUAAAUCUUAAUUCAGGACUUUAUUUUUUAUUGAUGUAUAACAUAUUUAGGUUUGUUUAAAAUUUUCAAACUUUAAUUUUAUAAAAUAGAUUCAAGUUUUGAAUUAAUUAAUAAUUGAUUUCAUUCUCUUUAAAAUGUAGAAUAUGAUAAAAGGCCUGCAACAAAUUCAAACAAAUCUUUAUACAAGUGAGAAUUUAUGUCAUCCAAUCAUUUUAUUAAAAAUCACUCUAUAAAUUAUAAAAAUAAAGAUAUUAAUCACAUCUAUUAAUAUGUUUUUUUUUUAAAUUGACAAAUCAUGAUGAAAUUAUAAUCUUUUUAAUAUUUUAUUAAUUAUAAAUUAAAACAUCACUAUAAUUAUUCAAUCCCCACAGAAUAUAAAAUGAGUUAUUUUCAGUAAUAAUAAUAAUAAUAACUAAUCAUAUUUGAAUAACAUUUCAUCAAUUAUAUAUCAAAAUAAAGUUUUAUGUUUAUCAUAACCUAUGUUUUAAAACAAAAUAAUAAAAGUUAUAUUUCCAUUUAAAUGUAUUUAGAUAUCUACCUCCAUAGCCCAUGGUAUUAAAAUAAUCUAAUAAAACACAGUAUCCCAUAACCGGUCAACAGCACAGCUGCUCCUAGCCUUAGCCUCUUGCAGCUGCAAUCAGCUGUUCCACUCUCUGUUACAGGAGUUUAAGACCAAAAUAAUAUAUUUGUAAAAAAAAAUGAUAAGAAUAGUAUCCAUUUGAAAAUAUUUGCCAAAGUAGUCUUCUUUAUCCACGUAAGCAUCCACAUGGAUUUUAAGUGUAAAGAACCACCGUUGGUGACUGUGGUUUUAGAACUUACAAAAAUUUCCUUAAAACCACAGUUACAAACUGUGGUUUUACAAUUUCUCUUAGAACCACAGUUACUAACUGCGGUUUUAAAAGAAGUUUCCUUAAUACCACAGUUACAAACUGUGGUUUUACAAUUUCCUAACUUUACAAUUAUUUUUAAAAUAUUUUUUUUAUUAAAACAACCAUAAAACCACAGUUAGUAACUGUGGUUUUACUAAUGGUGUUGUAAUUCAAAUUAGUGAUGUUAUGUUAUUCACAUGUUUCCUUGAUAAUUUAAACAAAUAAAACUCAAAUGCAUCCUAAAGUCUAAAUGAAAGAAAUUAUAACUAAAUAAAUUAUUACAACCAUUACCUAUUUUUCUUUCAUAUAAUUAAAAAAUUAUACAUUUUAACCAAGACAUAAGUUCAAAUCAUACUUAAUAAUAAAUAACCUAAAAUCAUAAUCACUAACAUUAAUUUUCAUAUGAAAAGAUAAAAUUUUAAAAUAAUAUAAACAAUUUCUUUAGUUAUUUUAAAAUUUAAAAAUAAUAUGAAUAAAUAAUUUUCUUUAGUUCAUAUGUGAAAAUAUUUGUAAAACAAAUAAAUAUUUUAUUUACUAUAAAUAUAUAAAUUUUUAUGGGAAUGCAUGUAGACCAAAUUAUUUUCUCAAAUUUUCAAGGAAAAUAUGAAAAAAUAAAGAUAAAAUAUAUAUAUAUAUAUUUUUAAAUAGUCGUAACAAAAAAAUUUGUGAAAAGCAAAGUUCUAAAAUCCCAUACUUUUUUAUACAUGAGUCCCCUUAAAAAUAUUUGUGAAAAUUACAACAUAAUUGUAAUUUUGAUAAAAAAAUAUUUUAAAAAUAAUAUUAAAAUUACAACACCAUUAAAAUAGAUGUGGAUUAAAAAUAAUUGUAAAACCACAGUUACUAACUGUGGUUUUAUAGUUAUUUUGAUAAAAAUUAUUUUAAAAAUAAUAUUAAAAUUACAACACCAUUAGUAAAACCACAGUUACUAACUGUGGUUUUAUGGUUGUUUUGAUAAAAAAAAAUAUUUUAAAAAUAAUAUUAAAAUUAUAACACCAUUAAAAUGAGGACGGAUUAAAAAUAAUUGUAAAACCACAGUUACUAACUGUGGUUUUAAGGGAAAUUGUAAAACCACAGUUUGUAACUGUGGUUUUAAGGAAACUUCUUUUAAAACCGCAGUUAGUAACCGUGGUUCUAAGAGAAAUUGUAAAACCACAGUUUGUAACUGUGGUUUUAAGGAAAUUUUUGUAAGUACUAAAACCACAGUCACCAACGGUGGUUCUUUACACUAAAAAUCCAUGUGGAUGCUUACGUGGAUAAAAAAGAUUACUUUGACAAAUAUUUUCAAAUGGAUACUAUUCUUAUCAUUUUUUUUUACAAAUAUAUUAUUUUGGUCUUAAACUCCUGUUACAGUCCAGCUUUGGCCGCCCAAGACAUACAUCUUUUCACCCAUCAGCCAUUACCCCUGCCACAGCUCAUACUAAAGCUGCCAUAACCUAUACCCCAUAACCUAAUAUACGACUCUCACAACCGCCCUUUGUAAGAGUCACACAAAAGCCAAAUUUUUAUUAUUAUUAUUUUUAAUCAACUCCAGCACAGCCUCGUCAGACGCCGAGCCUCCUGAUCUCAUCUCCAAACACGUUCUGCAGCUGAAUCCUUUGCCUUUAUGAAGUUUGGAUGUUGGUGGUGGGAUGUGCUUUUCCUUUCUCAAUUAUUUCUGCUUAGCUGUAUCCCUCUAGCUUUGAACUUUCACUUUUGUCCCUUUUGGCAGUCAACAAUGGCCGACAGUCUUGCCUCUGCGAUUUACAGCUGAUCUUUUCUUUUAGGGAGAGUUGGGAUUACUGGCUGUUAUACGAGAAAUACAUGGUUUUCAAAACCAUAUAACUGAAAUAUGAUUUACCUGAGAAAAAUUGUGAGAGUUGAGUUGUCAUUUUCGCCAUUUUAGAAAAGACUUAAUUUUAAGACCGUUAGUAGGUAGAAAUAACAAGUUCACAAGAACGAAAGAGACCUUUGUUGACUGACCUAAGUAACCCCUUUCAUGGCUUUUUCACUUGUUUGUUUUUGGGUUUUCUUUAAUGAGGCUAGGUGAUUGUUGUUUAUUUUGACUUAUAUUUUAGAUGGAUUUCAUUUUUAAUAAGAGUUUUUCAUGGUAAAAAUUGAUGUGAUACAAAUUUUUAUUGAUAUUAAUAUCAUUUUAUCAUAAAUUAUUUAGAGUAUAGAUAUAAAUAAAAUAUCAAUACCAUAGGAAAUGUUAAAAUAAAGUUAGGUGCAUAUGCAAAAAAUAAAAUUUGAAAAAUAGAAUAGUCCAGUCCAACCAUAUCCACACAUCCAUCUUCCUAUAAAUGAAACUAAUGAUAGAUACAUAAGUCAAAAAUAAGAUUUGAAAAAGAGUAUAAUCCAAUUCAACUACCUAUCUUCCAAUAAAUUAAACUCAAAAUGGGCACAUAUUCCAAAAAUAAAUUUUGAAAAAUAAAAUAUUCCAAACCAACUUUAUCAACAUGUCCAUCUUCCAAUAAAUUAAAUUGGAAAUGAGUCGGCAUGUGAUAAAAUAAAUGUCAAUUUCCAUUUUACUUAUAUUAAAUUCACUUAUAUAUUUAUAUCGAAAAUUAUCCUUUGAAUAUUUCUAGAAACAUUAGUGUGGACUCCGCAUUUUGAUUGCUCAAUGCGUUUCCCACUCGAUGGCGAACUCGACUUUUAUUUGAAAAAUUGAUUUUUAUUGAUUAUUUGAAAAUGACUUGGAGUCGCCACUUAUUUUUGUUUUAUUUUUAAAGGGUAAACAAAAUAAGAAAGAAAAACCCUAAGUGUGACUCCUUAUUUUGGAAAAGGCGGUCUGUGAAAACCGGAUCGAGUUCGGGGGUCAGGUUACUUAUCGGGAAGGUACGGUAAAGACCGUAGCACCCCUCUAAGUCCCUAAAGUCGGGUCUCUACUAAUGAGAUGAAGCUGACAUGGCAAUCAAUGAGAAAAUCAAUGAAUACUCGAAUCAAUCAUGCACAUAUGAGAAACAAAGCAUGUAUAAAGAAUGAGCAAAAUAUGAAUAGAUGCGUACCUGGGCGGCAAUCACGAAUGCGCUAUCAUGAAACAUGGUUAGUGAACAAUGAACAUAUAUAAUUAAGCGCAUAUCAAGGAAUAGAGUAAAUCAAUCAUGCAUGACAAAUAAAUCAAUCAAGCAAUCAAUCAGUCAUGAAUUCACAUAUGUGGGCCCCCCAUCAAAGCCCGUUUAUUUUGCAUGAAUUAAUCUCAUAAAUCUCAUCAUUUGAGAAUUACGAAGAUUGAUUUCUUGCUUGUUUAAAAACAUUUUGAAAUUCAUAGGAGUUGUGAAAAUUAUUGGCCAGAAGGAAGAAUGGCAGUGAAUUUUAUUUGAAAUGAGAUUUUUGAGUGAUCCUAAAAAUUCUAAAGAUGAAAAUUUGAAAAAUAAAUAAAUAAAUAAGAAUAAAAUAAAAUUAUUUGAAAAUCUAGAAAUUGGAAACUAUUUGAAAACGGGAAAUUUGGAAAUUACUUUUAAAUUGAAGAUAAAGAAAUAAAUAGAUAAAUAAAAAAAUAAAUAAAAGACACGUGGCCCAAAAGGUGGUCAUGCAUAGCUGCUUGUAAAUUGGGCAGCCAGUGCUUCUCAUACUCUCAGCUUCGGGAUGUUCCUUGAUGUAGUUGCCCCCAUGUGUCAUCCUUAGCCGUGACAAUGCAUGUGUCUUCAUCCCAAUUAAAGUCACUUUGAUCAAGAAGCGUCUUGACAGUGACAUAUUACAUCCUUAAGACAUCAUACCGAUUCUGCAGUUGCUCCUUCAAUUUUGGGUACUGAGCCCUGGCCCACUUUAACACAAAAUUAUACACUGCAUCCUCUGACGCAACCUGGAGUUCAUCACUAGACAAAAAUGCUUCAGUCUUGACAAGGGGUAAGGCCAUCGCCUCUUCUUGAAACUUGGUUGUGUCUUUGUAACGACUAGCAAGAUAUUGAUUGGUUGCAUCUGUCAAAGGCUGAACUGUCUCAACCAUUAGGGCACUAGAAGGAGGCUCUAGACAGAGCAAUGCAGAUUUCAGGUAUCAUGGAUAAGUUCCUUAAGAGUCUGCUGCAGCUGCGAUUCGGAGACUCUCCACCGUUGAUUUCAUCAUCAUGCUUCGCUUCAGAAUUCUGGACGCCAUGGAUUCAAACCGCGACUGGUUUGGCUUCCUUCAUUGCUUGUCACAACAGACUGCAUGCACCAUUCGUCGCGUACCUCACGACAAAUGUGAGUCUGGUUAAUCCCGUAGGAGGACUCCAAGCAGCAUGCAUAACGUACCUCUUCGGAACAUCACAACGAGACCCACUGGUGCCCUCGUCUGAAUACACCUCCGCAUCUCAUUCAAGUAAUGGGUAUUGGACCCAUGCAUGCAUGCAAAGAUGGAGGAGUGAAGUGGUGAGAGAAAGGAUGUACGGAUUUAGCUGCGAGUAAAGUCACGGGUAUGGGAGGAUGGAUGCGGUGAAGACCUUUGAGGGUGAUGAAAAAUGGUGCAUGGAGUAAGAUAGGCUAAAGUGGAAAUGCGUGGUAGAAUGGGCAAGGAUCUCAUGGGGAGAGUGCAGUCACGCAUAGGGUUAUGGGUAUGAUGGUAUGGGGGAUGGGAUGAUGUAGUUAUGGAGUGGUGUAGUGAGAGGAAAGGUGGUGAAGGGUAUGUGAGGAGGAUGAUGGGUAUGAGAGAAGGGUAUGAUGGGUACCAUGCAUGGGGAUGAAUGGUAUGAAGGAAGAUGGGUAUGGAGGAACAUGAAGGAUGGGUAUUGGAGGAUAUGGGUGAUGAGAAUGAAGUAGGAAACGUGGGUAUUAUGGGUGUGGGAAUUAAGGACGAUGGUGAAUGCGCUUAAUGGGAGAAUAUAGGAUGGAGAACGGGAAAUGGAAGAUGGAGAAUGGAUGAUGAGUGAUGGAGAGCUUGAGGUGGGUUGGAUGGAUGCAUGCAUCGGGCAUGAAGGACGGGUGAGUGGGAUGUGGGUAGUGGGCUUGGAAAAUAGGAACGUGGGUAAGGUGGUGUGGGACCAUGCAUGACUAAAUGGGUUAUCUUUUCCCGGUUUUUUUUAUUUUCCAGAGAUUUGCAGCCAAUUCCUUACUGUCAACAUGAUUACUGCCAACAUCUCAUCUCAGUGCCUUUCAUUAUUCUCACAGUCGCGACCAAAGAACAGUUCACUGUAGGAAACCAUAAAGAAAGACUAUGCUUCGUUGCUACUGACAAGGCAUUAUUUCACUUACCCUGAUUCCAUUUUAAGGCGGGAUAAAACCCGCAACCUGCACCAUCUGCGGAUAUGGUGGAACAAGUCAUCCACCAGAGAAGAAAUGCCUCUCACUGACAGGGUCUGAUGAUGGAGUUGAAAAAUUACGUCUAAAUAAGAAACUGGAAGGAGAGCCUCAAUUUCAUUCUUGGAUUUAACUGCUCAAUCCUUAACAUUCUCACAGCUGUCACCUUCCCCAUCAUAGUCACUUCCACUAACCAUCUUUUCCGGAGGAACACCAUUUUCAUAAAUCCACCAUUACUACCAGCCUCAGGUAGUAAUACGAGAAUCGAAACUCUCCACGACUAGUUCUAGGGAGCAGAGAUGGUAUGGGGGACAAAAUCGUUAAAAAAAAAAAAAAAAAAAGAACAAAAAUCAAAAGAUCCCGGAAUCGUAUAUAUAAAGCUGCGUUCCAUGAAAAACGAACGAGCUCAAAAAUGGUGGAACAAACAGGGGGUCCUCAACACGAGCUGGUAAACAUCAUACUCAAAUCUAGGUAAAGAGUAAUACCCCCAUUGCAAUGAAAAAAAAAAGAUUGAGAGCAUGAGAAGAGAAUAAAACAUAACAUAUAGGAGCAGAUAAUCACAUUUAAACGAAGCAAACCUGUGGCCCUUGAUCGUCCACAGCAAAUCACAAAUAGAUAUUCAUCAGAUUAGCAGAGAAUGAAGUGAGAUUUUAAGAGAUGAAAACGCACCAGAUUCAAAGUGAUGCUACUAAUGGCUCCACAAUGCAACCUUCUCCUCCUCGGCUUGCAAGCUUUCUCUUAGAAAACUCUCCGUGUAGCUUGCUUUCCCCCCAACUCAACCUCUCUGUCAAAAACUCCUCCUGUAGCCCUUCUCUCCCCAACUCUCAAAUAGCUGGCCACCUCUCUCUGCCCUCUCUCUCUACCCUGCAGCAGCUUCUGAAAAGCACCCUACCUCUGGCCAGCUGACCCCCCUGCAAAAAUCCCCUCUAACAGAAAAUAUGCGCUCCUCCUAACGGCCAGAAUAUCUCCAUGCCACGUGUCAAACUCUCACUCGCUCCUCAAUUCCACCAUCUGUUUCUAUGACCACCAACCACAAGACGACACGUGGCCCUAUGGGACUGCGGCACUUGGCAAAAAUGGCUGUAGAAAAUGACACCCAAAUGGGGGUCUACAAAUAUGCCCCUCUUCGGUAGAGUUCACGAGUGUAAGAGAUAUGAACACUGAAGUGAAAAGUAAGUGUGAAUAGUGAGUGGAAUGAAGUGAACUCUACCGAAGAAUCAAAGAGACCCCCAUAGGGACACUGGUGAAACGCAAAGUCACCCAGGCUAGUAGAUGAACACAAAGGCUCUAAUCCUAAAAGAGAAAUGAUGUCACAAAAUGCCUCUGCGGCCAUACUAAGGAUCCAAGCUCCCUCUAAGAUGUCUCCCACCCAUUUACUGCUAAAACAGUGGCAGACAAAUUUGUAUAGGAAUUAUCAAGCUCCACGGGAUGCCCCAGUUCGUCAUUAGUGACCGAGAUCCAAUUUUCAUUAGCAAGUUCUGGCAAGAAUUCUUCAAGAUGUCGGGCACCAAAUUGCAACUCAGUUCCGCAUACCACCCACAGACCGUCGGACAGACGGAAGUUGUCAAUCACUGCCUCAAGCAAUACCUUCGUUGUUUCGUGCACUAGUGGCCACGCAAAUGGAGUUCUUAUUUACCUUGAGCAGAAUAUUGGUAUAAUACCAACUAUCAUAUUUCUACAGGGAUGACCGCAUUCCAGGCACUGUAUGGAAGGCCGCUUCUUGGCAUUCCAUCGUACAUAGGUCUUUCGCUAGUACACGAGGUGGAUCAACAGUUAAUGACUCGCGAUGAACUACUUUAGCAAUUGAAGAUUAACUUAGCAAGCUCAGUUAAUCGAAUGAAACAAAUGGCAGACCACAAGCAGAGGGAUAUUUCGUUGACAUUGGCGAAUGGGUGUUGUUGAAGCUGCAUCCUUACGGCCAACAAACAGCCUUCAAACGGGUCCAACAAACGGCCUUCAAACGGGUCCAUCAGAAAUUGGUUAGUCGUUUUUACGGAUCCUAUGUGAUCUUGAAGAAAUGCGGACCAAUCGCGUACAAAUUAGACUUACCAAAAGGCACGCGCAUCCACCCAGUGUUUCAUGUGUCACUACUUAAAUGAUACCAAGAAAAUGAUGGACUUACGGAGCCACAGUAGACAACGUUGCCACCUAUCUCCGAUGAAGGAGUGGUCGCACUUGAACCGCAAAAGAUUCUGGACACCCGCUUGGUCAAACAGAGAGGCCAACUUGUUGAAGAAAGCCUAGUGCAACGGAAACAUCUACUCUCGAAGGACGCCACUUGGGAACCAACGAAGAAAUUGCUCAACGAAUUCUCACCAACGAUCCUUGAGGACGAGGAUCCACUACACGGGGGAAGUAUUGAUAGGCCACGUCAGUCAACGAGGCCCCGUAAUCCAAAUCCCAAAUACUUGGGAUAAGCUGGACGUGAUCAACAUGAAGUUUGGGUCGUGGGGAACGUUGGAAGUUUACGUUGGAAGUUUACAUAGGAAUGGGUCUUCAGGAGUUACGCAUUUUAUGUCAUUUUCUUUCCGUUAGUGUUGUCUGUUAUAUGCUAUGUUUUAUGUGUUUAAGUUCCGGUUAUUAAGCUACUAGUUUCCCUUCAUUUUUGACAUUAUUGUAAUUGGCUUUGCUUAUUUAAAGCAGCCCAGAAAUUAUCAAGAAGCAGGAGAAAAAUUAUUCAACUAUUAUGGUUCAUUUCUCACCCGAAGAGAAAGUCAUUUACGUUAACAUCUAUCGCAUUUGUUGGGACCUAACAGGGCGCAACUGCUAUCACUACAGCUGGUGAUGUGUUGCUAGUUGCUACAGGGAAUGUGCUGUUGUGGCUGUUGAUGUUGUUGCUUCCUCUUCAAGAAUAUCAACACAAGGUGAGACGAGGGCUUACCCAAAUGAAACCAGAGCAAUCCAAGAAACAAAACUAUCGUGUGGCAUUUCAUCAACCAGGUGGUGGGCAUUAUCAACUGAAAAAAUAUCUCUACUGGAGUUUAUUAUUUUCUAUACAUUGCAUAAACUUUAAAGAUAUUAUGAUCCAUUAACUUUGAACCUUAUUUACACUUGCAUAUGUCUGGGAUUGUGUGUAACAAUUGAUUAACAUUGACUUUUGGGUGUAAAUGUUGUCUAAUUCGUCACUCAGAUAUCAGGUGUGAUUAACCAUGCAUGUCAGAAAUUCUGAAGACUUGAUUGGAUUGAUUUGCUCGUCUGAAAUGUCCAAUCGGCUUGGUCUGUCCAUUCCGUUUGACAUUAUGGAAGAAGGAAAACUUCUCACUUUUGGUGCUAGACGGAGCUUAUCUUUAUCCAGACGGGUUAUAUGUUUGUCCUAAUAAGCCAAAGGGUUUUGAAUUUGAGAAGGACAUGUGGAGGGAAGCUCCCCACAGACAUUAUCAACUGAAAAAGUAUAUCAACUGGAGUUUAUUAUUUUCUAUACAUUGCAUAAGCUUUAAAGAUGUUAUGGUCCAAUAACUUUGAACCUUAUUUUGAAAAUUAAUUUAUAUUCAUUAUUUUUAUAAAUAUAAUAUCAAAUAUAAAUCGAAAAAGUAUAAGUUACAAAUUUCAAAGGGUGUUUAUGAGUGGAUCAAUUUUUGGUCUCAAUUAAAAAAACUAAUUUAAAAUAAUAUAAAUAUAAUAUGUUUUUAGUUUAUUUAUUUAUGGUUAGGGUUAUAAAAUAAAUUGAUAUUUUUUAAUUUUAAAUAAGAAAAACAAAUAAGAUAAAAAAGAAAAAAAAUUAAAGAUCGAACAAUAUAAAAUAUUGAAAGUGAAUGAAUAAAAAUGAAAAAGUUUACAACUCAAAUAAGACCAAUCUAAAAAAUGCAUUACAUAUUAAAAUAUCAUCAUUUUUUUUAUUAAAAUAUACCUAAUGGCAUUUCAUAUUGUUAGAUGGUAAAGGAGAAACUAAAAAAAAUCAUAGAACUAUAGAAUGUAGCACAUGAACUUAGUUUGAUGACCUGAAGUGCACAAGUUGCUUUCAAACCACUGGGACUUGCUUAGGGUUAAAAGUUAAAAAUAGGACCGAUAAUAUUUAAUCAGUAAUAUCAUCUCAAGCCUAUUCCAAAAUAUGGCAACCGGGUAAAAUUAAAAAUUAACUUAAUGCUUAAUAAUUUUUUUUUUAAAAAAAAGAACUUGUUAAAUUUUUUUCUAAAAUCAUUAGAUGUUGUAUAAUUUUUCUAAAAUGAAUGAGAAAAGUUAUAAUGGUGAAGCUCUUGAAAAAGAAGCUUUCAAUUAUGAUCGCACUCCUUCAAAAAAAAAAUCGUUAAAUAUAGAAUAGAAGCAAACUCGUCAAUCAUCACAUAAAAAAACAAUUUCUCCAAAGAGUGCUGACCCUUCAACCCCCAUGAGCUAACCAAGCAGCUCGACCCUAACAUCCUAAGCGAAGCGCAACAGUAGUGAUUCAAGUUUCACAAUCAACACCAAUAAAGACAAGAACAAUUGGCACUCAAAAAAUUUAUUUCCUUUAACUUUUUCCCUUUAAGUUGAAUUUGAUUUUUAAAUGGUGUUAUUUGAUUAAUUAUUUUACAAUAUAUAUAUAUAUAUAUGUUAUAUCUUAAAAAAGGUUAGUAAAUUAUAUUACAAUUAUCAAAUAUAUUACCAUAUAUAAAAUACAACUUAAGAAAUCUUAAGCAUAACACAAAGCACAAGAGCAAGAUAUGUUAAUUUAAGUUACUAAGAGCUUAUUUAGUUGUGUGAUUUAAAAAUAGUUUUCUUAUUUUAAAAAUAAAAAAUUAUUUUAAAAUUUUUUUAACACUAUUUUAAUGUUGUUCUUUGGAAAUAAUUUUUUAAAAUAAAGUAAAAUAGAGAACAAUUUUUAAAGAACAAGUAGGAGUUGUUUCAUCAGUUUUUAAAAAACAAAAAAAUAUAUAAACUCAUUUGAUCAUGUUUUUUUAAAUUUGUUUUUAAAAAUUGUUUUUAAAUUAAAAAAUAAAAAAUAAUUUUUAAAAAUAAGUUUCAGAAAAUAUGACCAAACGAACCCUAAAUGAUUGGAGUUUAUAAUAUUAAAGAGAAAAAAAAGUUAAUUUAAGAGUUUGCAUGUAGGUAGACAUCUAGCUGUAAAACUGGUUUAUUUGAGACACCCAUUUUAUUUAGGGAGAAUUGUGUUUUGGGCCCAACUGGGUCCAAAAAUUAAGAUGUGGUCCAUAUAUUUUACAUAAUUAAGCGCAACACCCAAAGAAAGUCUGAAAAUUGAAAAGAAGGAUAUUGUCCUUCAUUAAUCCCUAAAAUACCCUUAACCCUUACGUAGACAUUUAGUGAGUGUGAAUUUUAAUUUUUUUUGUAUUUUUUUCCCUUUUCUAUUCUCUAUUAAGUAUUACUCAUUUCUAACUUUUUUUUUCUUCCAAUCUAUAUUUCUAUUUUAUGUCAAAUAAAAAGCAAUAAGGUUUUUUUUUUUUUUUUUUUUUUUUCAUUUUUAAAGAUAUUGAAUCUUUUUACUCUUAUUAUAAGCAAGAAUAAAAAUUUUGGGAUUUUUCAUCCAAUUUUUUUAUUUUUUUUAUUUUUUAUCUUUUUGUAUUUAUCUUUUAGUUUAAUUUUCAUUUUUUAUUUUAAAUUUAUAUUACCCUUUCAUUUAUACUUUUCUCUUAUUUUUAAUUAUUUUUUAUUUUCUACAUUAACCAUAUUUUAAAAAAUUUUAAAAUAUACUAUCACUUCACUCUUAUUAUAUAUAUAUAUCCUCCUUUUAGUUUUUAAAUUUUUAAUGUUUUUAUUUUAAAAUUUUUUAAAAGAUAAAUUUAUUGAAAAAAAUAACUAAGAUAUGAAGUUCUAAUAUUAUAUUAAUAAUUUUUCUUAUCCAGAUAGACUAAUGCAAAGUAUUUUGACUCACAACAAGAAAAUUGUUAAUACAAUUUUUUAGUGAAACUUUAAAAAUUAAAUUUCAAAUAAAAUAUAUUAUAUAAAAUUUUAUCUAAAAAUUAUUGAAAGUGGUAUUUAAUUUUUUUUUAUUAACUUUCAAACUUAUCUAAUUUUUUACUUGAAAUGUAAUAGAACAUGUUUACAAAAAAAAUUAGUUUUUCAUUUUUUAAAUAAAUGACUAUAAAUAUAUUAAAAGAAUUAAAGAUAAUUUUAGUAAAAAAUUUAAUAAAUAUGAUUAUAAUUUUAAAUAUAGAUUCAUUUGGAUAAAAUUUCACAAAAAAAAAAAUAGUGAAAAGAAAGAACAUUGCUAAAACUACAAAAACAAAAUAUGAAAUUACAAAAUUUUGAUGAUGAAAUUUAAAAAUAAAAUUUGAAACAAUUCUUGAGUGAGAGAAUUUGAGUGCGGAAAAAUCCUUGAGUGGAAAAAAAUAGAAAAGUUUUUCAAAAUCACUUGAAAUUCUUAACAAAAAGUAGUCUUGUACAGCUGGUGUAAUACCUUUGUACAAUAACUCAAACUUCAUAUAUCAUCUCAUUAAUAUCUAACAAUAAGUCGGUUAACCAUGUUUGCAUUGGUUUUGUUUUAAAAAAGAAGAAAAUUGUUGUAUAAUUUUAUUUUACAAUCAUCAUAAGUGAGGUACCUAUUUAAAUGACCAUAUACAAGUUAGAUAAAGUGUAUGAGAUGAAUAUGUGCUUAAUCAAUGUGUGUAAGGAAUGUCAUCUAUCCUCAGUUAGGGGAAAUAAACAAACAGGUUUUUUAGAAUCACUUAAAAUCCUUUACAAAUAAUAGUCUUGUACCCUUGUACAGUUAGUAUAUUUAUCAUGUACACUUAGUGUAAAUACCUUGUACAGUGACUCAAAUUCCAUAUACCCCCUACUCAAUGUGUAACCAUAGGUAGAUUAACCAUAUUUUCAUUGGUUUGGUUCAAAAAAUAGUGGAAGAUGGAAAAAUAAAAUUUUCUCUCAAACAUCAUUCGUGGGAUAAGUAUUCGAAUUGUCAUAUGCGAGUUAAAUAAAGUGCAUAAGAUGAGUGUGUGAUAGAGGAAUGUGUACCUUGAGAGUGUGCAAUCCUUAGAUGACAAGACAAAAAAAAAAAAGUUGUCCAAAAUUGAUUGAAAUCUUUCACAAAGGAUAGUCUUGUAUACCCCUUGUAUAGUUAGAACAUUUACCAGUAUAGUUAGUAUAACACCCUUGUACAAUGGUGCAAAUUUCAUCCAUAUGCAUACAUUAUGUGCUACAUAUGAUGUGUGAACCAUGUUUCCAAUGGUUUGAUUUAAAAAAUGAUAUAAAACAUAAAAACAAAAUUUUUCCCUAAAUAUAAUUAUUAAGGUAAAUAUUUGAAUUGUUAUAUGCGAGUUAAAUAAAGUACAUGAAUUAAAAGAAUUUGUGGUAGAAGAGCGUACAAUCCAUAGAUGACAAGAAAAAAAAAAGUUGUUCAAAAUGUACAGUCUUGUACACCUCUUGUACAAUUAGUGUAAUAACCUUGUAUAAUGAUAUAGAUUUCACAUAUAUGCAUAAAUUAUAUCCACAUGAGUGUGUAAACUAUGUUCCCAAUAGUUUGACAUUUAAAAUAAUUAAAACAAAUAAAAUGUUAUUUUAUUUUAUUUUCAAAACUAUGUUAGCUAAUUGUUCUUUUAAAAUAACAAGAUCAUAAUCUAUAUUAUAUAUACCAUGAGGAUAAGGAAUAAAAGACAUUAAUUCAUAUCAAAUAAGCAGAGUAAAUAAAGAUUUAGAAUAAAUUAAGCAAAAUUAAUCAGGCUUUAAAUGGGGUAAGAUAAAUUUUGGUACUCUGAAAAUUAAUUUGAAUCUACAGUCUCAUUUCCUAAUUAAUAUACUGCAAUACACAGAGAGACUUUGACACCAACUUUUCCCAUCAGCAGUUUCAACAACAGUUUGUUAGUCAAAGUAAUGGUAGGGGUUUUUGAAAUCUCCGUUAGCAAUGAAAGUUUAAUGAAAAUUUUAUAUUGAAUUAAAGUGUGAACGCAUUUAUUGCUAACAUUAAAAUAAUAUAGACAUUUCCAAAUACUUAAUAUUUUAAUAUAAAAUUUUCAAACACUCAUUAAAAUAAUAUAAAAGGUUUCAGACAAUUAUUAUUUUAAUAUAUAUUUAACUUAAGGUUCUGUGCUUAUAGUGUGAAACCAUUUAAUGUAUAAAAAUUAAGUUUUUGAAAUCGGAUAUCUCAAAAAUUCAGGUAAUAAAAUUCAAAAAUUUUUAAAACGUCACUUCGUGUCAAGGUAAUACCCCCCUUCUGACCAGACAGAGUCUCCCUAACAUGCCAAUUUUCAGGCAAAAACGGGUUUAAGGUUAAGGGUUAAGACUAAAGACUCUAGUUUUAAAACAUGAUUUUACACCCAAAAUUUUCUAAAUAACCCGAUUUUUUUUUUUUAUGUUGAUGAGAACAUUAUAUAAAAAGGAUCCACAUAUAUUACAUAUAUUAAAUAGUAAAGAAAACUUAAAAAUAAUUCAAAUAAUUUUCUUUUCCAUACUUUACCUUUUUACCCCUUUUACCCCUUAAGGGUAAGAAAAAUACAUAAUAAAAUAAAUUCUAAAUGAAAGCAAAAAUUUAACAGAAAAUUAAUUCUUACUUUCUUAUUGAUUGCUGAUAAAUGUACAAAACACAAAUUAUUAAAAAAUAAAACCGAUAAAUAUAUGCACUUAGGAAUAAUUUUAAUAGGAAUAAUAGGACUUCAUCGUAAAGAAAUUGGAGCACUUAUAAAUAUUAACCUUUUAGAUACUAGAAACAAUAUAGUAAGACGAGCUCUUUUAGCUAGUGCAGAAGUUAAUAUGAACCAAAAUUAUGCAGUUAUUGAUUGUAUACCUCAAUUUUGUAUAGAUCUUAAGGAAUUCACAGAAAAAAUAAAAAUAACUGUAAAUACUAAAGGUUAUGAUAUGGAAUUAGGAAGUAAAAACCUUAGCAUAGCUAUAGGAUUUAUAGGAAAAACUACUAACGCUUUAAGUUUAAAAUGUAUAAUGGAAUUCGAUGAUAUAGUAAAAACCUUUGGAAGUAAGACAGUAAAUAUGAUAGAAGCAAAACCUGUAAAUAUAGACUAUUUACUAGGACGAGAGUGGGAAUUACCUUAAAUAAAUAAACCAAUAAUAAAAUAUCCAACAUCCAGUAGCUUAUAUGAAAACCAAGAUGGAAGUGCAAGUAUAACCUUUGGAAAUUAUAAAACUGUAAAUGUAGAGGUAGAGUCAGAUAGUGAGAUAGAAACUGUGAAUGUUAUAUAAGAAGAUAUUUUACUAAACAUUGAGACAGUAGAAAACCUAUACAAAAUCUUAGAGUUAGUAAAUAUAAUGUUAGAGGAAUUUAGUAAUCCAACAUUACUAGACGAACAAGUGGAUCAAGAAAACUUUGUUAAUAUAAUGUGUAAAAACUAUACAAAUGACCAAAUAAUAGAACAACUCUAUAAAACCAAUUUAAUCAAAAAAACUUAUAGAUAUAGAAAUGAUAAAUCAAUUUACUAUUCAACCAAAAGUUAACAUCUCAAACGAAUCAAUAAAUACAAUAAAUGAAGAAAAGGAAUUUGUAAAUGUAAGAAGUGAAAUAGUAAAAUAUAAUAAGCCGUAUAGCAAGCCAAAAGGACCUCAAUGGAAAACUAAAACAGAACCUUAUAGUUUUUUGCAACCAGUAUAUAAUUCUUUGCAACCUGUAUUAUUAGAUAUAGAUAGUGCGCAAGAUCUUAGAAAAACCAUAGAAAAUUGGAAGCAAUCUUUAAAUUCAGCAGGUGUGGUAGUAUCCUUUGAAAACCAACAAGAAAUUUACGAAUUUUGUAAAAACACCCUUAGAGGAACUGUACUACAAUUUUUUAGAAACAUGGAACAAGAAAACAACAGUUAUUUUCAAGAAGUUAGAAAUAAUUUUAGCAUAUCUGUAUUUACAAAUCUAAUAAAACUUUAUUUUUUGGGAACAACACAAGAAGAUGUAAAAGAACCUGCAAUAUACUUUCAUAAGUUAGAACAAUUGAAAUUAUGUAACCUUUCAUAUAUAAGGGAAUAUGAACAAAAAUUUAGGAAAUAUGCAAUCCUUGCUAGAGUAGACAGAACCCCUGAAUAUUUAAAUAAAUAUAUAUUAAAAAUACAAGGAUCUGUAGGACUUAGACUAUGGAAUGAAUUUACAACUUCCGAGUAUAAAAAUUCUCCUUAUAUAGGUGCUAGAAUAGAAUUUGUAAAAAAUUGGUUAGAAAGAGAAUGUGUAAGCAUAGGAGAAAGAAGUCAAAUAAAGAAACAAGACAUAAAUCAACAACUUUGUAGAAAAUUACAUAUAGGAGAAAACCUAGAUAUAGGAUGUAGAGAAUAUAAGUUUAGAAAACCUAAGAGAUAUAAUAAAUUUUUAAGAAGAAAGUCAAGAACCUUUUAUAAAAAAACGACCAUAUUAGACAAAAUAUAAAAAACCUGGAAAGUUUUGGAUAAAAAGAAAAAGAACCUCAGAAAGAAAAAGACAGUGUAAAUGUUAUUUGUGUGGUCAGGAAGGCCAUAUAAGACUUGAAUGUCCUGAACUUAAAAAACUAUUAAAUGAACGAAAUAUAAAAACCCAAGUAAAAAUAAACCUAAUAAAUGAGUAUCAGCUAGAUAGUGAAGAAGAAGAACUUAUCAAUGAAUUAGACUUUGAAAGUGAAAAUUCAAGUGUAUAUAGUAUAGAAGAUAGUGAAAAUGAAAAAGAAGAAAUUUGUAUGAUUAUUGAAAAAGAGGAAAAUCAAGCUAAGAAAACCCCUUUAAAUUUAGAAAACCUUGUACAACCUUUAGAAAGUAAAAUAAAACCUUAUAAUAUAUGGAAAGAUUUACAAAUAAUAAUCAAAGGAAAAUUUUCAAAAGAAGAAGAAGAUAGUUGUUCAAAACCUAAGGACACAGAAGAACCAAAAAGUCCUGUAAAAGAACCAAUGAAUCCUGAAAAAAUAACCAUACAAACAAUAGAACAAGUAAAUAUGGCAAAUAAAGUUAAAUCUAUUAUUUUUCCAACAACAAUUAAAUUAAAAACCAUAGAAUUAAAGGUAGACGCAAUGUUAGAUACUGGAGCCAGUAAAAACCUUUUAUUUGAAACCCUAGUCCCUCAAGAAGAUCAACAAACAUUAGUUCAACCAGUAGAGUUAAUCCAAUACAAUCAACAAAAACUAAUACUAACCAAGUAUAUUUCAAACGUACCAAUCAUAAUUAAUAACAUAACCUUAGUAUUGCCCCAAACUUAUCUUGUACCUACUAUAAGUUUAUAUCCUUUUAUUUUAGGUUUAAAUUUUGUACAUUCUUUACAAGGAGGGAUAACAAUACAAAAUAACCAAGUUAGUUUUCAUCCUAAAACCACAACAAUUGUUUAUACAAACAUGGAAAAUGUAUUAAAUAAAAAUCAGAAUGUAACAUCUCAUCAAAUUAGCAAAAUGGAGGCACAAAAGGAUAACAUAAUUAAUGACUACUCAGAACAAUUAAGAAAUGCAAAUAGAUUAAAAAACCUUAUAUUAGAAGCAGAAAAAAUAGGAAUUAUAGGGGAAGACCCACAAAAACAUUGGAAUAAAAAUAAGAAAACCUGUAAAAUACCAAUUUAAAACCCAGAUUUAACAAUAAAAACGGCAGAUAUAGCAUGUAAUCUUAAGAUACAAAGGAAUUCAAAAUUCAAAUAGAAGAACUAUUACAUAAUAAGCUCAUAAAACCAAGUUUCAGUCCCCAUAGAUCCUCAGCUUUUUUAGUUAGAAACCAUAAUGAAGAAAAACGAGAAAAAGUUAGGAUGGUUAUUAAUUAUAAAAGAUUGAAUGAUAAUACAUAUGAUGAUGCCUAUAAAAUUCAAAAUAAAGAUUCUUUAAUUAAUUCUAUUCAAGGAUGUAAAUAUUUUUCUCAAUUAGACUGUAAAAGUGGAUUUUGGCAAAUUAGAUUAGAAGAAGAUAGUAAACCAUGGACAACGUUUUCAUGUCCUUGUGGAUUAUAUGAAUGGAAUGUAAUGUCAUUUGAACUAAAAAAUGUUCCACAGAUAUUCCGACGAAUGAUGAAUAAUAUUUUUGAAAAAUAUUCUUUUGUUCUUGUAUAUAUUGAUGAUAUUCUUGUCUUUUCAUAUACUCUUCAGGAACACAUAAAGCAUUUAGAAUUGAUUUUUGAAAAACUAGUUAGUCAUGGAUUAAUAGUAAGUAAAAAGAAAUUGAAAUUAUUUAAGACUCAAAUAGAAUUUUUAGGAUUAGAAUUAGAGGAUGGACAAAUAAAAUUACAAGAACAUAUAGUACAAAAAAUAAAUAAUUUUCCAGACAAACUCGAAGACUUAAAAACCUUUCAAAGUUUUUUAGGAUUAUUAAAUUAUGCUAGGCCAUAUAUUAAAAACCUUAGUAGAUUAGUUGGACCCCUUUAUAGUAAAACAAAAAACACAGGGUAGAGAUAUUUUAACUAAGAAGAUAUUAAACUUAUACAGAAAAUAAAAGAACUUGUGAAACAUCUCCCAACCUUACAUUUACCCUUAGAAAAUGAAUAUAAAAUAGUUCAAACUGAUGCUAGUCAAACAGGAUGGGGAGGUAUACUUUUAGCAAUAACUAAUAUAGGAGAAGAAAAACUUUGUAGAUAUUGUAGUGGAACUUUUAAUGAUUAUCAAAAGAACCUUAGUUCUACAUACUUAGAAAUUAAAGCAAUAAUAUUAGUCUUAGAAAAAUUUCAAUUAUUUUUGAACCAAGAACAAUUUACUUUAAGAACCGAUUGUGAGAAUAUUAAAAAAUUCUUUGAAAACAAAAAUUCUUCAAAACUGUCCACCAAAAGAUGGAUAAAGUUUCAAAACUCUUUAAUUGAUUUCAAACCUAAAUUUGAACAUAUUAAAGGAAAAGAUAAUAUACUAGCAGACUAGUUAAGUAGACAAAUAAUUAAUAAUGUUGAUGAUACUAAUGAUUGAUUUCAUGAUUACAAGAACAUGGCUCAAAGAAAACCUACGAAAGCUAGAACCUUUCAAUAUGGAACCAUUUGUCUGAACGAAGUGUUAAAUCCAAAUAUGAGGUUUAACUCUUUAUUUUCUCAAAACCUUUUUGAAGAACAUAAGGUUAUUGUAGAUAAUUUUUUGUCUCUAAAACCACAAAGUUUUUCGAACCAAAAUUUAGAAUACGCUUAUGGAAAAACAGUGUUAGCUUUAGCCCAACAUUUACAAAACCUUCAAAACCAACUGAUUGCUUUAGAAACCCAAAAAUUCCAAAACCUCAAAAUCCAAGAAAAUCAAGAAAAACUGAUAGAAUAUUUGAAAACCAGUACAGUGUCAACCAAUCAAACCAGUUGUUCGAACAAUCAACUUGAAGUAAUUAGUUUAAUUAAGAAAUCAACUCUUCUGAUUGAACAAUAUGAAAAGCUUGUUGUUAAAAACAUAAUUGGAGUUGAUAACUACUCUUUCGUCAAAACCUUUUUCCUACAAAAUCAAUAUAACAAAGUAUUUAAAAAUCAAGAACUUUUGUAUAAACAUUUUAGAACCAAAAAUGCCGGGAUAAAAACAGGGUAUAUGGCAUAUCACGACCCUGAAUUUUUCUUUGUUAUAUAUUUAGCUUAUGUAAAUAUGUCUGUUAUAAAUAUAGAAAAUUUUGAUUUAGUACCACAACUCAUGGAUCAGGGAAUUUUAAAAAAUGUUUUUAUAAACCAUAUAUCUCAAAUCCCUAAAAAUUUCCUAGAAAAAUUGAAAGAUAUUUUAACUUAUUUUUUUAAAACCGAAAAAUAUAUAGAUAUUUCUUUUGAAACCAUUUCACCUUUAUUUCAACCCGAUGGAUCAGUAGUACCAGCCUAUCAUCAUGUAUAUAUAAAACAUAAUAAAGAACAACUCAUCCCUCGAUAAGAACCAGAAUGGGAAAUGAUCCGUUUAGAUGAAUUUCCAGAAUUUUUUACUCACUUUAGAGCUUUUCAAAUCUAUGAUCUUAGACCAACCCGGAAUAAAUUAUUUCAUCUCAUUGGUUAAACAAAAACCAUGUCUAUAUGGAGAGUAAAACCUUUAGAACACAUUAUUGUUCCAAAACCUUUUAUUACUUUUGAAGAACAAGAUUUUAUAACCAAACUCAGUGUAGAUAUACCGGAACCAUCUUCCUACCUCAGCGAUGACGCAUUAUUUUGGGACAACCUGGACGAUGAAAGUUAUCAUAAUUUACAAAAUGCAAUGGAAGGGUGAUGUUAGCAAUGACGACAUUGAGGCAGUAAAUGCGUCUUCAACUACAAAAAUUCAAUGUGGCAGUACAAGUUCAGAAGCAGUAAAGACAUCUACAGGCCACGUAUUAUGCAUGUGAUAAAAAGAGAGAAGAAAAGGACAAGAAAAAAAGACAAGAAGGAAGAGAAGAACAGGUGAAUAAACAAAAGUCAAAAGUCUCAGAAGUCUUUUAUCAUCUUUGUAUUUAUUUUAUACCAAACCUCUAAACACCGUAAAUAUUUUUCCUACCGUCCAACCACUUGAAUUUAAUUCUCACCUGUAUUGUCACCUGUCACUUGUAAAUACUUUGCCUAUAAAUUAGUGGUAGUAAAAGAAAAGAAGUGUGCUCGAGAAAGUGUGUCCGAAGGUGUGUGCAACAUAGUGUAAAGUUGUCUGUGAAAGAAAACUGUAUCUUCAACCUUGUACAUUUAUCAUCAAUCAAUAAGAAAGUAAGAAUUAAUUUUCUGUUAAAUUUUUGCUUUCAUUUAGAAUAUAUUUUAUUAUGUAUUUUUCUUACCCUUAGAAAGUAUUUUUUUAAAUAGUUUUUUAACAAUAUUUUUCUUUAGUUAUAAUUUAAAAUAGAAAAUAAUGCUAAUUUUCAAUUAGUUAUAAAUAAAAUAAAAUUUAAAAACAAUGAAAAAUCUAAAUUAUUAAAAUAGAAUUAUUAUAGUUGCAUGAAUAGUGGUGCAAUAAAGACCAAAAAAGCUUAUGUGAAAGAUCAUUGGGUGUUUUAGUCCAUUAUUAUUUUAUAUCCUUAAAAGGUAAUAUAUGGAAAUUUAAAGGGCAUAUUGGUCUCUUAACAUCUUAUAUCAUUUCCAUUAAUUAUGUAAGUUAUAUGGACCAAAUGUUAAUUUUUGAACUCAAUUGGACUCAAAACACAAUUGUCCCUUUUAUUUAUACAUUCUUCUGGCAUUGACCACGUGUUUAGGAUGUGUUGCACUAAAAUCUCAUGAUAAACUUGCAGUUCAAAAUCACAAACUAGAUGUAUGUAUUAGAAACAGACCAUAUUGGGUCAUGCACAUUCUUCGUCAUUUUCUAUUUCUUAGCAACAUAUAUGACCAAAUGAAAUUAUUAUACCCUAAUUAUAUUUUUUUAACUAGGUGAUAAAGAUAAUUAAAAUAUUAUUAGAAAAAACAAUCAUAUAGGUUUAAAUAGAAUUUCACACUUAGCCGUAUGAUAACAAAUUUUGUCAAUUAAAUAAAUACAACUUAAAAUAACAAAUUAAAUAAAAAAAAUGAAUAGUUCAAUUUUAAAAUUUUUACUCCUACAAAUUCACUAAUGAUUAAAAAUAUUGCAUUUAAAAAAAAAAAAACAAAUCACUUUUUGCUUUCACAGUCUAUAUGACAUUCCAACCUUAGAUCCCAUAGUUUGAGUAAGUUUGAGGCUAGAUUUGAGACAACCCAGUGAUACUACUUCGGUUAGUUCACACAAAUUCAAUAGAUUAUCACAUAACUAGUGCAUGCAUUAUCUUGCCUAGAAUAAUAUCUUAAUAUAACUUGGGCAAAAUCAGAGAGAAGUGGUGUUUAUUGUAGUGAGAAAUCAGAGGGAAAUCAUUGAAUGAUUUAUAGGUUGUGAAAUUAGAGAGAAAAAGAUGAGCUUUGCUGGUUUGAAAUCUAGAGUCUCUGAAGACAAGCAAAGAGCAAGAUUAUGAGAAAGGGUAACUUGAGCCUCAAAAAUAUGUAAAUAUAUAAAUUUGGCAUCUAUGAAAUCGGUCAGGCCAUAAUCAACAUGUACAGUCACAACUUUUUGUUGAGACAUGUGCCUCUCAGAACAUUUGAAGUUAAGAUGUUUGUCUUCAAUUUGAUUGCUCUUUGUGACUUUGAGAUUCUCAUUCCUUUUGAUGUAAAAAAAAGAAAAAAAAAAAAAAAGAAUUAAAAGAUGUAGGGUAAAAUGUUAAAUAGUGUGAGUUUGAAUUAAUAAAGUUUUAAUCAAAAUUGGAAAUUAAGGUGAAGUAUCUAAUUUGCCUUGAUCACAAAGGAAGCAAAGAUUGACCAAUCAGAGCUUUGAGUCUUUCACUAAUCAUAUGAUGGUUUCACUUUUAAUUGUUUGAGAUAUUCCAUAUAGAUAUCCAUCAAACCUAAGGAUAAGACAUUAAAUUGUGUAAUUUUUGUAUAAUGAACUAGUUCACAAAAUGUUUAAUACUUCAAAAGUGAUAACUUACGAAGUAAAGAAUCAAUCCCAACAACUUUAGUUAGCAAAAUAAUGUCGUAAUUCUAUUUUUAACUCAUUUGAAAUACUUCUCAAAACAAUAUUCCGAAGGACAAAAAAAAUUGAAUUUAUAAUGUAGUUUCCUACAUAAUUUGAUUUCUUAUUCUUGCUUCGAGAAUCUAUCUCUUUUUUACACCAACAAAUAUGUAUAGUACAAAAUAAAAUAAAGUGUGAGGCACCGCUUUAAUCAGAAUAAUUAAUUGAAAUGAAAUGUUUGACUUGCCUUGAUUAAUAAGGACUUUCAUGGCUGACCUGAUAGAGGUUGGGCUCUUAAUGUCAUCCAUUCAGCAAUGUAUCAUACCCUACCAAAGCUUGAUCAAGUCUAAGGCUAAGCUGUAAUUGGUUUAGCUAGGAAAAAAAAAGAGAAGAAAAACGAGAUCAUUAGAAAGAAUUUUCAGUCCCUUUAAAUCACUUAGCCAUAUAAUAAAGGAUCGUAGCUCACAAAAAACUUGAGAUAAAUGUUUAGUAUCUUCUCCAGCAUAUCCAUUCAACAAAUUUGCAAAAAAGCUCCAACCGGUUGUGCAUAUGGUCCUCUUCAUCAUCUUGGGCAUCAACAACAUUACUGUCAAUAUUCUGUGUCCAUUGGAGAAUCGCUAUGCUCAGUGCACUGUGUACAGUCAUAGCUUGUUUGUGCAUUAGAAUUAGCAUCUUCUGCUGCUGAUCUGGUAUCACAACUUCUCUGCUCAUCAUUGUACUCUAUCAUUGUCUGAUGGUCGCGCUUGGUCGCUUCUGGGUUGUCACAGCUUCUCUGAGCAUCAGUACUGGUAUCUUCUGGGAUGUUUCUGUUGAUAACAUCACCUGUAUAUAUAAGAUGGAACCCCCACUCUUUCACUUCGACUGGUGUACCGUCAAAGCUACGAAAUGAAGCCUUCAAACGUCUCCAUUCGUUUGACCAAUACUGGUUGUUAAUAGCAACCUUGGGAUAACAAGUCACACACAUUUGACUUGAUUCACCACAAAUUCGGCAGCUAUAAAACAGGACAUCAUCCACGUCACAGCAUUCAGAUUGAUCACCACAGAUAUUGAGUUCGCAAUUCAACCCAUCACAAGCAAUAGGAGUAAAAACAGAGUAGAAAGCAAAUCCUAAGAAGUCAUUAUUUCUGUACCAAUCCAUAGGAAGCUCUAUUGUUAUUUGAGACCCUUUUUUUUGCUGGCUUGUCCACUCUGGAAUUCCAUUAUUUCCCGAAAUUACAACUCUGAUUGCCUUAAUCCAAUAGAAGCCGCAUUCAAAUUCCUGCACAGAAGUACAGUGUUAAUACUCUGUGUUCAUAAGGAAAAAGGGCUGAAUGUUAUGAAAAUCAUACCUCAAUUGUUGAUUUAAAGCAUUUGAACAGAGAAAAACCAAGUAGACUUGAUGGACUUGAUAAAGUUUCUAAGCAUGUGCAACUGUGGACUUCUAGAACUCGUAAACUUGGCAGAAGCUCUGGAACUUGUAGAAGCCUCUGGCAGUGACUCAAGUCAAGGACUCUCAGUUUGGAAAGUUGAAUGAUGCCUGCAAGUAUGCUACUAAAACAGUCCAUGCUUAGAUUUAGACCUGAAGCGUGCAAACACUCUAAACAUUGCAAACUCCUCACGUUCUCGGGAAAUUCCUCAAGUUUUGUACAGAAACUGACAUCUAGAAUUUUGAGAGAACUCAAAUUACAAAUGGUCUCUGGAAGACUCACAAGGUUGGUGCAAUCUGCAAGAUUCAAACAUUGAAGCCCUCUUAAAUAUUGAAUUGACGCUGGUAGUUCUUCUAUAGCAGUUCCAUCUAAAUGAAGCUUUCUUAAAUUUUCCACAUCCUCAAGGAUUUCUGGAAAGCUCCUUAAUCAUGAACAGCCUGAGCAGUCGAGAGUUGUAAGGGAUUUCAACUCACAUAUGCUACUGGGAAGAUGCUCAAGGUUUUUGCAUUCUCGCAAGCACAAGCUAUCAAGUUCUAAGGGACACUCAAUAGUGGGUAGUUCAUUGAUGGCAUUUCCCUUUAAACAAAGCUUCCGUCUGGAUUGCACAUCCUCUUAACAUUCCUGGCAAAUGGUGGGUAUCAUUGCUUUACCAUUGUUCUUUUCAUGAUCAUGGGCAUAUAUAAGAUGGAUCCCACACUCUUCCACUUUCAUUGCUUUACCACAUAAGAAGCCACAAAAUGAAGCGGUCAACUGCCUCCACCUCCGUUUAUUUGAGUGAUACUUCUCAAUCUCCACCUUGGGAUAAUAAAUCAUCCACAUAUUUGGUACAACAUCAUAGCAGUGAAACGUGGGAUAAAACCGGAGUUCAUCCACAAACUGAGAUUCAUGAGCACGCAAAGUCAAACCACACUUGAGGGAAGUUGCAUAAUUCUCCAGUGUCUCCUCAGAUUCAUUAUCAAGUGGAUCAUAGAGAGAGUACAAAACAAAACCCAACAAGUCGUUAUUUUUAUACCAAUUUUCAGGAAGCUCUGCUACCACUUUAGCUCCCUUUUUGUGAUGGCUUAUCCAUUUUGGAAUUCCACAACUUCCUGAAAUAAUAAGAUGUACUCGGGCAAAACGGUUUUCUCUAGGAUAAAUCCUGCAUUCAAAAUCCUGCACAAAAUUUAAUUAACGCGUAAAUCCCCAUGUCUCCAUAGAAAAAGUUUUGUUCUAUGAAUAUCAUACCUGAAUCAAUGAUUUGAAGCAGUUGAAUAGAGAAGACCAGAGUAGACCGGAAGAAGUUUCCAGCCGUGUGCACUCAUGUACAUCUAAGACACGCAAACUGGAUGGAAGCGCUGGAAUUUGUCGAAGCUCUUGACAGUGACCCAAGUCAAGGAGUCUCAGCAUAGAAAGUUGAUUGACCCCAGAAGGUAUGCUCCUAAAAAGAUUCCCGGUUAGAAGUAAUUGUCGCAGAGAUGAUAGGUGGCAAAUUUCAGUGGGGAUUCCUCCUUCAUCUAUACUGCAGAAAGAUAGAUCUAACACUUCCAACGAGUACAAGCAGCAAAUAUCACUCAGGAUUUCUCCUUGUAUUAGCUUUGACCCAGUUAGAAUUAAAUUCUUUAAGGAGCAUAAACCCGACAAAGAAAGCAAUUGGCAACAUGUUGAAUUUAAGCCACAAGCACGGAGAUGCUUCAAGCUUUGCAGCCUCCCUAGGUUUUGUGGCAAUUUGUGGAGUUUUGAACAGUAACUGACAUUGAGAACUUCAAGAAAGCAUAAAUUACAAAUGCUUUCUGGAAGAGUCACAAGGUUUUCGCAGCGGUCCAGAUUCAAAACUUCAAGCCUAUUCAAAUGUUCGAUUGAUGAUGGUAGCUCUUUUAUAGCCGUUUCGUUCAAGUGAAGCUCCCUUAAGUUUUCCAUAUUCUCCAAGAUUUCUGGAAAGUACUGUAAUUGUGAACAGUGAGAGCAAAAGAGAGAUUUUAGGGAUUUGAACUCCCAAAUGCUUGUUGGCAGACUCUCAAGGUUUUUGCACUCUCGCAAACAUAAGGUAUCAAAUUCAGAGGCAUGCUCAAUGGGUAGUAGGCUGAUUGUCUGACCCUUUAAACAAAGCUUUCGGUGUUCCACGUUCCUCUGACAAUCCAAGCAUCUAGCAUCCACAUCCUCAGUCUGUACUACUAUUGGAUCUUGGGAGUAUAUAGGUUGGAGCCCACACUUGAGCACCUUAAAAUGACUCUGAGGGUCCUUAAAUGUAGCCGCAAGAUACAUGAAUGGAUUGGUGGGACCGCUCUCCAGAAUAGCAGCCUUGGGAUAGAAUAUCACCCACAUUUGUUCUGAUACACCUCCAUUAUGGUAGCAUUUACAAGUAGAGCGAAAACUGAGAUGUCGCACACACAGGGAAGAAGAUCCAUAUCCUUCACUCAAUGACAGUUGACAUUGUAACUCAGUGGAGAUUGAAGAUUCAGCUUCAAGUAAAUCAUCAGAUUCAUUCUCCAAUGUAUGUGCAAAAUCAUUUUCUGGUAUAUCCUCACAUUCAUCGAGUGGAGCAUAAACACAGCAUAUAGCAAUCCCCAAGAAGUCAUCAUUUUCAUAACAAUUCUGAGGAAGCUCCAUUGUGAUUCGAUAUCCCUCUCUCUGAUUCCUUAUCCACUUGGGAAUUCCACUGCUUCCCGGAACAACAAUACAGAUUCCAUCGCCAAUGUAGUCGGAAUUAGGGAGAAAUACUCCAUUUGAACUCUUCUCGUGUUUCAAAUCCUGCACAAAUGGACAAUGUAAAUCUAGUGGGUCUGUGUCAUUAUGUGAGUUUUUAUGAGAGAGUUUGUUAUCAGUUUUCGAUAAAUUGAUUCCCAGUUUUAACUUUCUUUGAUCUAUGCUCCUGAAUCUACUUAAUAUCCCUUUUAGAUGAUGGAUAAUCAAUGAACAUGAAAGUGAGUGACAAGAUUAAGUGUGAAAACUGGAAGUGAGGGGAAACUGAAACUGGAAAGUGAGUAGAAUAAGCAGAUCUCUUCUUCACUUGCAGUAGCUCCUUCUCCAUUCAGAUUCAGAGAUCUUAGAAUUGUAGCUUCAACUUAACUCUCAGAAUCUUAAAGACAAAGUUCGCUCAAGUUUCAAAAACUCAUAGAAAAAUUUCGCCUCAUGUUUCUCUUAAUCCCAUGAGGCGAGAGACAUGCAGCACAUGCUUAUUGGCUUUUUUCCAUGCAAGUUUCAAGGUGGAGCAUCUAAUGAACUAAAACAUUCCUUCAAAUCCUAGUGGAAAUUCACACUAGAAAUUUCAGAAUUUGCUAAAGAAAGGUUUAAUUCAUUUUAUCCAUGAAUAAAAAAUCAUGUGAGGGCAUUUUAACUUCCUAAUAAUUAUUAUAUUAAACUAUAAUUCUCAUUAUUUAAACUCGUGAUCUGUAACUUUAUCAUCACAUUUUGAAGAGACUUUCGUCAUCUCUUCCAUGAAUUAAUUGAUGUUUAAGGAGGUAUAAUAAACUUUUAAUUGAAUUUAACAUUAUUUCUAUCCUUAUACUCAUCUUAAACUCUAAUUUUUUUUUUUUACUCUUAUCAAAAAAAAUAAAAACUUAACAGAAAAAAAAAAUUUCAAUUACUCCGUGUUCACGAGGAAAAAUGGCUGAAUGUUAUGAAAAUCAUACCUCAAUUGUUGAUUUAAAGCAUUUGAACAGAGAAACACCAAGUAGACUUGAUGGACUUGAUAAAGUUUCCAAGCAUGUGCAACUGUGGACAUCUAGAACUCGUAAACUUGGCGUAAGCUCUGGAACUUGUAGAGGCCCCUGGCAGUGACUCAAUUCAACGACUCUCAGUUUAGAAAGUUGAAUGAUGCCUGCAAGUAUGCUACUAAAACAGUCCAUGCUUAGAUUUAGACCUGAAGCAUGCAAACACUCUAAACAUUGCAAACUCCUCAGGUUCUUGGGAAAUUCCUCAAGUUUUGUACAGAAACUGACAUCUAGAAUUUUAAGAGAACUCAAAUUACAAAUGGUCUCUGGAAGACUCACAAGGUUGGUGCAAUCUGCAAGAUUCAAACAUUGAAGCCCUCUUAAAUAUUGAAUUGAUGCUGGUAGUUCUUUUAUAGCAGUUCCAUCUAAAUGAAGAUUUCUUAAAUUUUCCACAUCCUCAAGGAUUUCUGGAAAGCUCCUUAAUCGUGAACAGCCUGAGCAGUUGAGAGUUGUAAGGGAUUUCAACUCACAAAUGCUACUGGGAAGACGCUCAAGGUUUUUGCAUUCUCGCAAACAUAAGCUAUCAAAUUCUAAGGGACACUCAAUAGUGGGUAGUUCAUUGAUGGCACUUCCCUUUAAACAAAGCUUCCGUCGGGAUUGCACAUCCGCUUGACAUUUCCGGCAAAUGGUGGGUAUCAUUGCUUUACCAUUGUUCUUUUCAUGAUCAUGGGCAUAUAUAAGAUGGAUCCCACACUCUUCCACUUUCAUUGCUUUACCAUGUGAGAAGCCACAAAAUGAAGCCGUCAACUGCCUCCAUUUAUUUGAGUGAUACUUCUUCUCAAUCACCACCUUUGCAUAAUAAAUCAUCCACAUUUUUGGUACAACAUCAUAGCAGCGAAACGAUGGAUAAAACUGGAGUUCAUCCACAAACUGAGAUUCAUGAGCACGCAAAGUCAAAGAACACUUGAGGUAAGCUGCAUCAUUCUCCAGUGUCUCCUCAGAUUCAUUAUCAAGUGGAUCAUAAAGAGAGUACAAAACAAAACCCAACAAGUCGUUAUUUUUAUACCAAUUUUCAGGAAGCUUUGCUACCACUUUAGCUCCCUUUUUGUGAUGGCUUAUCCAUUUUGGAAUUCCACAACUUCCUGAAAUAAUAAGAUUUACUCGGGCAAAAAGGCUGUCUCUAGGAUAAAUCCUGCAUUCAAAAUCCUGCACAAAAUUUAAUUAACACGUAAAUCCCCAUGUCUCCAUAGAAAAAGUUUUGUUCUAUGAAUAUCAUACCUGAAUCAAUGAUUUGAAGCAGUUGAAUAGAGAAGACCAGAGUAGACCCGAAGAAGUUUCCAGCCAUGGGCACUCAUGUACAUCUAAGACACGCAAACUGGAUGGAAGCGCUGGAAUUUGUCGAAGCUCUUGACAGUGACCCAAGUUAAGGAUUCUCAGCAUAGAAAGUUGAUUGACCCCAGAAGGUAUGCUCCUAAAAAGAUUCCCACUUAGAUGUAAAUGUUGCAGAGAUGAUAGGUGGCAAAUUUCAGUGGGGAUUCCUCCUUCAUCUAUUCUGCAGAAAGAUAGAUCUAACACUUCCAACGAGUACAAGCAGCAAAUAUCACUCAGGACUACUCCUUGCAUUAGCUUUGACCCAGGUAGAAUUAAAUUCUUUAAGGAGCAUAAACCCAACAAAGAAACCAAUUGGCAACAUGUUGAAUUUAAGCCACAAGCACAGAGAUGCUUCAAGCUUUGCAGCCUCCCCAGGUUUUGUGGCAAUUUGUGGAGUUUUGAACAGUAACUGACAUCGAGAACUUCAAGAAAGCAUAAAUUACAAAUGCUUUCUGGAAGAGUCACAAGUUUUUUGCAGCCCUCCAGAUUCAAAACUUCAAGCCUAUUCAAAUGUUCGAUUGAUGAUGGUAGCUCUUUUAUAGCCGUUUCAUUCAAGUGAAGCUCCCUUAAGUUUUCCAUAUUCUCCAAGAUUUCUGGAAAGUACUGUAAUUGUGAACAGUGAGAGCAAAAGAGAGAUUUUAGGGAUUUGAACUCCCAAAUGCUUGUUGGCAGACUCUCAAGGUUUUUGCACUCUCGCAAACAUAAGGUAUCAAAUUCAGAGGCAUGCUCAAUGGGUAGUAGGCUGAUUGGCUGACCCUUUAAACAAAGCUUUCGGUGUUCCACGUUCCUCUGACAUUCCAAGCAGCUAGCAUCCACAUCCUCAGUCUGUACUAUUGGGUCUUGGGAGUAUAUAGGUUGGAGCCCACACUUGAGCACCUUAAAAUGAUUGCGAGAGUCUAUAAAUACAGCAUUAAGAUGCAUGAAUCGAUUGGUGUGACAGCUCUCCAGAAUAGCAGCCUUGGGAUAGAAUAUCACCCACAUUUGUCCUGAUACACCUCCAUUAUGGUAGCAUUUACAAGUAGAGCAAAAACUGAGAUGUCGCACACACAGGGAAGAAGAUCCAUAUCCUUCACUCAAUGACAGUUGACAUUGUAACUUAGUGGAGAUUGAAGAUUCAGCUUCAAGUAAAUCAUCAUCUUCAUUUAGGACUUCGUCACCAGAUGGAUUCUCCAAUGUAUGUGCAAAAUAAUUUUCAGGUGUGUCCUCACAUUCAUAGAUUGGAGCAUAAACAGAGCAUAUAGCAAUUCCCAAGAAGUCAUCAUUUUCAUAACAAUUCUGAGGAAGGCCCAUUGUGAUAUGAUAUCCCUCUGUCUGAUUCCUUAUCCACUUGGGAAUUCCACUGCUUCCCGGAACAACAAUACAGAUUCCAUCGCUAAUGUAGUCGGAAUUAGGGAGAAAUACUCCAUUUGAACUCUUCUCGUGUUUCAAAUCCUGCACAAAUGGACAAUGUAAAUCUAGUGGGUCUGUGUCAUUAUGUGAGUUUUUAUGAGAGAGUUUGUUAUCGGUUUUUGAUAAAUUGAUUCCCAGUUUUAACUUUCUUUGAUCUAUGCUCCUGAAUCUACUUAAUAUCCCUUUUAGAUGACGGAUAAUCAAUGAACAUGAAAGUGAGUGACAAGAUUAAGUGUGAAAACUGGAAGUGAGGGGAAACUGAAACUGAAAGUGAGUAGAAUAAGCAGAUCUCUUCUUCACUUGCAGUAGCUUCUUCUCCAUUCAGAUUCAGAGAUCUUAGAAUUGUAGCUUCAACUUAACUCUCAGAAUCUUAAAGACAAAGUUCGCUCAAGUUUCAAAAACUCACAGAAAAAUUUCGCCUCUUGUUUCUCUUAAUCCCAUGAGGCGAGAGACAUGUAGCACACGCUUAUUGGCUUUUUUCCAUGCAAGUUUCAAGGUGGAGCAUCUAAUGAACUAAAACAUUCCUUCAAAUCCUAGUGGAAAUUCACACUAGAAAUUUCAGAAUUUGCUAAAGAAAGGUUGAAUUCAUUUUAUCCAUGAAUAAAAAAGCAUGUGAGGGCAUUUUAACUUCCUAAUAAUUAUUAUAUUAAACUAUAAUUCUCAUUAUUUAAACUGAUGAUCUUUCACUUCAUCACGACAUUUUGACGAGACUUUUGUCAUCUCUUCCAUGAAUUAAUUGAUGUUUAAGGAGGUACAAUAUUUUUUAAUUGAAUUUAACAUUAUUUCUAUCCUUAUACUCAUUUUAAACUAUUAUAUUUUUUUUUUAUAGUUUUAUCAAAAUAAAUAAAAACUUAACAAAAAAUAAAUAAAGAUUUCAAAACAAACUUUAUAGAGUUAUCAACACUUAUUUACAUCAUUCUUUAAAAAAAAUUAUAAUUAACAAAAAUGUGAUAUAAAAAUUAUAAAGAAUAAAAUUUUUUGAAAAAUGUACUAGUUAUUUGAAAUCAAAAUUCCUAGUCAAUGAAUCGUCAAAAAACUGCAAUAGCUAUGCAAAUGAGAAAAAUAAAUAAAUUAAAAGUAAAAAAAGAAAUUAUCAAUGUCAAGAAUGAGAAACCAUUUAUUUCCUUUUUUUUUUGUAAACUUUUUUUUAUUCUGAUUGUAUGUAUUCAUUACAAUUUUUAAAUUAAUAAAUAAUGUUUUUAUCACAAAAUUUAAAAAUGGCAUCUAUCAAAAUUUAUAUAUUGUUAUUAGAUUUUUAUAAAUUUCAUUUAUAUCUUCAAAAUUACAAACUCCUUUCCAUUAUUAUUUCUUAUUUUUCUUAUUGAAAAUGCAUCUUUAUUCAUCAUUUGAAAGCAUAACACUUUGAAUCUUAGGAUGUACUUCUUUCUUCCUAGGCAUUGCACUCUCAUAGGACCCAUUAAAUCCAUAUGCAACAUCUCUAAGAUCCUAGAAGAAGAGAGAAUCAGUUUUCUCUCUCAUUCAUGCGAAUUCAUUUUCUUAGAUGGGACAGAUUUUAGGAUUUUUAGGUUUUCCUAAAUGGGAAGUGCUUUAACUAGUUCUUUAAUUGUAAUCCUAGACAAAUCAUUAGAGUUUAAAUGCGCUACCAUACAAUGCUACUGUCUUUGGAUGUAAAUUUCACAUUUUACAACUAUGUGCACUAGAUGAUAAGGAAGAAGUAGAGAGGUGCACAAAGGCAUAACAAAAAUUACCAAAAAUUUGAUUUCAUACCAACACACAUCCUUGAAUAGACACUGAUUUGGAGUAAAAUGAACAAAGCAUAUACAAUCACAAAUUUAAGUUGCAUUAAUUAAGUUUGCUUUCAAUCCAAUAUAUAGUAACUCCUCGAGUAUAGGUAAAUUUGGACCUUCUAUGGUACCUUUCACUUUCGAGUUGGUUAUAUGUAAUACAACCAUCCCUAAAUACAACCAAGCUUCCCUUUAAGGUUCAAACGUGGAGAAAAACCAUAAGUUCAUUAUUUCUUUAACCAUUCCCAAAUACAACCAAACUCCUUUUAUGAGUUCAAAAGUCGAGAGAGAUCCAAGUUCUCUGUCAUACAACUAGAGUAGCCACUCUCAAAAUCCACAACGUGUUUUUCUCUAGCUCUUAGACCCUAUGGUCAACUAAGGCUUUUUGGUUCUCCUUAACCUAGAUUUUCUUUCCAACAGACAAUUUAAAUCCUAUUUAAGAAUUGUUUUUAAAAUUAAUUUCUCAGUUCUUAAAAAUAGAAACCUAUUUUGUAGACUAAAACCAUGUUUGGCAACUUUUUGACAUAUUAUAGUUUUUUGAGAACUUGUUCUGAAAAUAAGGUUUCUCCUAAUAACAUAUUUUAAUUGCUUUCAAUUGUUUUCAUUUAUUUUGUAAGGUUGUUUUAAAAAAAUAAUGGUACAUAUAUAAAGAAUGAUGAAAAAUAAAGAACUAAAAGUAAAAGUUAUUUUUAAUAAAUAUUUGGAAAUACAAAAAAUAUAUUAAAAACAUUCUAAGUUUGUAAAUAGACUUUUAUUCUAGAAAACAUCAGACCAACUAUUUUUGAAUCAUGCAAAUUGGGCACACAUUUUCUAUGCCUAGUUUUCUGCCCAAGGCCCUGUAAAUGAACACAACCUCAAUUUUAAGGAGUUUCAAAACGAUGGUUGCUUUCUCGAAGGGGAGAGGAGUUUCGAAGGGUGGUAAGAGUUUGUUUGCAAUGGAAUCAAAGACAUUCGAAAUCCCCAUUGAAGGGAUUCGAGGCAACAGAUGGGAUUAUUCCGAAAAGGAACAAAGGCUUCUCCUCAUAGAUAAAAUUUGGUGAAAAGAGCUUCAGUUUUCUGUUGGAAGGGGUGGAAGACUAGUGCAGAGGAGAGUCAAGCUCGAGGCACCUUAAAGUUUAGGAAGAAGAAGGAAGAAAAUAUAGGUUGGAGUGUCGUUCAAAUGAAGCCGAUAGGUAUCUACUAUGCUCGAUGAGGGAUUUGGAAGCUAAGAGGUUUUGUCUAGUGUUUCCAGAAGGUAAAGGCUUAGUAGGAGGGUGGUUUCUGUUGGCUUAGAAGUUAAGGGCCCUUGGAGUUUCUACUCCAGCCUUGAGUAAAGGUGAUCUGGGUACUUCCAACUCUGAAAAGAAUGGUUAUAUGGCCAAAGGAAAAGAUAAAGGGAAAGGAGUGUAUGCAGAAGUCGUGAGAAAGGAGGUAGGGGAAUUAGGGGAUGCAUUGUGAGUGCAUGUUGGGGAUCGUGACCUGCUCAGUAGGGAAGAACAGCUUAGCCAUUGUUUAGUAGGAUGUUUUGGUGAUAGUGUAGAGGUCGUCCCUUCUUUGUCCUUAUUGAAGGAGUGGGCGUGUGAAAAGUGGUAUCUCAAGGGAGGUUUAUAAAUCUCCAAUUUGGGUGGAGCCCUUGUGUUGUUCGAAGUUGAAGAUAAAAGUUGAAGUGGAUUUGGUGCUUUUAAGGGGUAGUAGAUGUCUUAAGAAGAGAGAGUUUUUCCUGCAGAAAUGGGGACUUGAAGUUGGGUGUUUUAGAAAUGGGAGCCACCCUAAGGAAGUGUGGGUGAAAGUUGUCGGACUUCCACUUCACCUUUGGAGUAGAGAGGUGUUCAAGAGUAUUGGAGAAAGAUGUGGUGUUUCAUAGCUGUGGAUAAGGAAACUGCUUUCUCCUCCGAGUUGAUGUGGGCUCGUAUCUUGCUGAGAGCCUUUGGGAAGUUUAGACCAGGAACUUCACAAGUGGCAGUCGGGAAUUUUUGUUGGACGGUGAGUCUAUGGUGGAAAACUCCCCCAUGGUUCUCAAAGGUAGUGGCAAGGUUCGCCUAGUUUGAAAAUGAGAGACGAGAGAUCAGGGAUGAGGUUGGGGGUGAAACACGUGCCGAAGUUAGCGUGCAAUAUGUUCAAAAUUUUCAAAUUGAUAUGCAGUCUUGGGGGACAGGGGCGCAGGUUGUGUGUGGCAGAAGGAAAAGAAAGGAAGUAGUUGUAAUGGUUGCAAAGGGUAAGCUGCCUAGUGUAGCUGAUAUGGACUCUUCUUGCAGUGGGUCUGGGCCCAUAAAAGAAAAUGGGAAGGCUUUCAAAGGGAAUGGUUGUUUGGGCUUUAGUGGUGAAGUGGUUUGGGCCAAAGGCCCAUUGUCCGUUAGCCUUGAAGAGGCGAGCUUAGGUAAGUCUCCUAAGCCCACUUUUAAUAAGGCUGGCACAAGCUUUUUGGAGCGUCCCUCCUCAGCUAGGGCUCCAUCUAUUCCCGCAGGGGGUGUUGGGGGACGGAUGCGAAGCUCUUGGCUGUUGAAGUUGCAGUCACCGCGGAGUUGCUGCCACAUCGUCGGAGCGUCACUGACAAGGCUCUGAUGGAGGAGGCUUCCAGGUAUUAAGCUAUUCCCAAUUUUUCUUUGUUUUUAGGGCUUCGGGAAUCCUCUUCUUCUUCUCUCUGGGGCCACACCGAAGUUGUAGGGGUGUCGAAGGGGUUUGCUUAUGGAACGGAAUGGGAGUUGGGUCGGUUUCCACCGAGUGUGGUGCGGAAUAGAGCUGAGUCGACUUUAUGAGGCUGGAGUGAGCCUUCUUGGGACUCGGUUGACGCUAAGAGAGUGAAUGGGUUAGCACUUGUCCCGAUGAGGUCGGACUUUACGCGCCUUUUUGAGAAAAGGAGUGUCUGUCACCUAGAAGAAGGGGGAUGUGAUGAAGGGUAAGGGGGAUGUGAUGAAGGGUGGAGUUCAAGCCGUCUUGCGGUGUUCAGUCGCUGCUUGGGUAUGCCAACGAAAGGCUUCGAAAAGGAAAUUUUGUACUUCUUAAGGAGAAUGACAGGGAAAAUUGAGUAAAAGGGUAAGAGAGGGGUGACUAGGAAGACAAGUUUAAAAUCUUCAAAAUCCAACAAGGAACUCAAGAAGCUGGAGUGGACUGUUAAAGAGGCUAAUGAUAGGGGUAAAAGGAAGAUUAUCAAGUCAGUCAUUAAAUCCCAAAGAGUGGACCUGGUUUGUUUACAGGAAACUAAAAUUAAAGAAAUGACUACAGGGCUUGUUCGUAGUCUAGGGGUGGGAAGAAAUCUAAAAUGGAGAGCAGUCAAUCCUAGGGGAGCAGCUAGUGGUAUUCUGUUGUUCUGGGACAAUAGACUGGUGGAGCUGGUUGGCUAGGAAGAAGGGGUUUUCUCAAUUUGGCGUUGGUUUAAAAAUUGCAUGGAUGGUGUAGUGUGGGUGUUCACUGGAGUGUAUGGGCCAGUAUGCAAUAGAGAUAGAGAGGAUUUCUGGAAGGAACUAGGGUCAAUUAAAGGGUUAUGGAGUGACCCUUGGUGUGUAGGAGGGGAUUUCAAUUUGGUAAGGUUUCCAAAAGAGCGUAGUAGGAGAGGUGGGCUUAUUGCUUCAAUGAGGAGAUUCUCAAAAGUGAUAGAAGAUUUGGAGUUGAGGGAUUUUCCUUUGACGGGGGGCUCAUUUACUUGGAGAGGAGGCUUGAAUAACCAGGCCCAGUCUAGGCUUGACUGGUUCUUAUUGACGAACAACUGGGAUAAUCUGUUCAAUGGGGCCAUGCAGGGAAUUCUCCCCAGACCUGUCUCAGAUCAUUUCCCGAUCCUCCUAGGAGGAGGGUUGACGAAGGGACCUUCCCCUUUCAGAUUUGAGAAUAUGUGGUUGGAGGAGGAGGGUUUCAAAGACAAGAUGAAGACAUGGUGGGGGAGUUUAAAAUUUACGGGGACAUCCAACUACAUUUUAAAUGCUAAAUUGGGGACUCUUAAAAAUAUUCUGAAGAUUUGGAAUAAAGAAGAGUUUGGGCUCUAUUGGGAUGAAAAGAAGAAAUGUGCAGCUUUAAAUAUAAAAGAGUGUGAAGCAAGAAAUGGAGCAAGAGUCCUACAAGUCUUGGGUGACGAGAGAAGAGAUUUUUUGGAGACAAAAGUCUAGGAAGUUGUGGCUGAAGCGGGAGGGGGGACAAUAAUACUAGAUUUUUUCAUAGGUUGGCGAAUGCUCAUAAUAAAAGAAUCUAGUUGUCCAAGUUGAAAGUUAAUGGCUAUUGACACUCAGAGGAAAAUAAUUUAAAAAAGUGUGGUGGGGGCGUUUCAAAAACCAUACUCAAAAGAAGAGGGGUGGCGCCCUAGUAUCGACAGGUCGUCCUUUAUAGGUUAGAUAGAAGUGAGGCUGAGGGGUUGGAGAAUCCUUUCUCGGAGGAAGUGGUGUUUGCAGCUCUUUCAGAUCUAAGCAAAUACAAAGCCCUAGGGCCGCAUGGUUUUACCAUGGCAUUUUGGUUUUUUUGGUGGGAUGUGGUGAAGGUUGAGAUUAUAGGCUUUUUUAGAGAAUUUCAUGAAAGGGGUAGAUUUGUAAAAUCUCUAAAUGUCACCAUCUUGGGUUUAGUCCGUAAGAAGGGAGGUGCUCAAGAUUUGAAGGAUUUCAGACCGAUUAGCCUUGUGGAGCCUUUACAAGUUGUUGGCCAAGUGUUGCCAAAUAGAAUCAAGAAGGUAAUGGGAAAAGUGAUUUCGGAACCCAAAAUGCCUUUGUGAAGGGUAGAUAAAUACUUGAUGCAGUUUUGAUUGCAAAUGAGGCUACGAAUUCUAGGUUGAAAAGCAGUCAAGGGGGUAUGAUGUGCAAAUUGGAUAUAGAGAAGGCCUAUGAUCAUGUCUGCUAAAAGUUCGUGUUGGCAAUGCUAAAAAAAAUAGGCUUUGGUGAGAGAUGGAUUAAGUGGAUGGAGUGGUGUAUCUCUAUUAUAAGAUUCUCUGUUCUUAUAGAUGGUUCUCCCUCCGGGUUUUUCCAAAGUUCAAGGGGUUUGAGACAAAGAGACCCCUUAUCCCCUUAUCUGUUUGUGAUAGUUAUUGAGGUAUUUAGUUGCUUAUUGAGAAGGGCCAUUAGUGGGGGCUUUAUAUUAGGGUGGAGGAUAAGAGGCAGGGUGGAGAGGGGAUUCUGAUAUCUCACUUGCUUUUUGCGGAUGACACCUUGGUGUUUUGUGAGGAGUCUCAGGAUCAAUUGACGCAUCUAAGCUGGCUUCCCAUGUGGUUUGAGGCUUGCUCAUGGUUGAGAGCUAACUUGGAGAAGAGUGAGCUUAUUCCGAUGGGGAGGGUAAAAGAUAUAGAAUAUUUGGCUUUGGAAUUGGGCUAUAAAGUGGGUGGUCUGCCUUCCUGUUAUUUGGGUCUGCCUUUAGGGGCACCCUUCAAAUCAGAGGUGGUAUGGGAUAGUGUUGAAGAGAGGUUUCGAAAAAGGCUAACUAUAUGGAAGAGACAACAUAUAUCAAAAGGGGGAAGACUCACCCUAAUAUGAAGCACUCUCUAGUUUGCCAGUUUACUUCAUGUCUCUCUUCUUUUUGCCCAAAAAAGUAAGGCUAAGGUUGGAGAAGAUUCAGAGGGACUUCCUGUGGGGAAGAGGAGCUCUUGAACAAAGGUCACAUCUUGUUAGGUGGAACUUGGUUUGUCUGGAAAGAAAGAAAAGUGAUUUGGGUGUGAGAAAUUUAGCUUUGAUGAAUAAAGCUCUCUUGGGUAAGUGGAAUUGGCGCUUUGCCAUUGAAAGUGAGGCUUUGUGGAAGCAAGCGAUCGGUCACAAAUAUGAUGUAAAGGAGGGGGGAUGGUGUACUCGGGCCGUAAGUGGGAGGCAUGGUGUAGGGCUUUGGAAAGCUAUUAGAAAGGAGUGGUUGGGUAUGUAUAGAAGUUUAGUCUAUCGCGUGGGCAGUGGUAGGAAAGUGAGAUCCUGGAAGGAUAAGUAGUAUGGAGAUGAGCCUCUUUAGGAGUCCUUCCCUUCUUUAUUUGCCAUUUCCUUGGCUAAAGAUGUUUGGGUAUCAGAUGUGUGGAAACCAGAUGGUGUAGAGGAUGGUUGGACCCCUCUUUUCUCAAGGGCGCUUAAUGAUUGGGAGAUUGAGAUGGUGGAGCAGUUUAUGCUAAAAAUCCAAGCCUUUAGGGUGUAAAGGGAGGACGAGGAUACAGUGGUAUGGACAGCAUCUAAAAGUGGAGGACUAGUAUUUGGAGAGCGUAUGUGCCUCCUAAGGUAACUUUCUUCGCUUGGGAAAGCAUCCUGAGGCAAAAUCUUAACUUUGGAGCAACUCCAUUGAAAGGGGUACUCUUUGGCAAAUAGAUGUUUUCUUUGCCUUUCUGAAGCAGAAAGGGUGGAUCACCUUUUACUUCAUUGUGUUAAGACACGGGCAUUGUGGAAUCUUCUUUUUUCCCUCUUUGGUGUGACUUGGGUUCUCUCUGGUUUAGUUAAGGAAACUCUCCUUGGUUGGCAUGGAGCAUUUGUGGGAAAAACCCGUAAAAAGGCGUGGCAAAUGAAUCAUUUAUCUAUAUUUUGGUCAAUAUGGAAGGAAAGAAAUUUAUUGGCUUUUGGGAAUGAGGUGUUUUCACUCCAAAGGUUGAAACAUUCUUUUGUAUGUAAUUUUUGAUCUUGGGUUAGGGUGUUUAUAGUUUUGAGCCCUUGUUCUCUUGUUAGCUUUUUUGAGUGGCUAGGCUCUAAGUAAGGGUAGGGGUUGUCGUUUCUUUCCCCUUUCUUGGUUUAGAGUAUGUGGGUUGCUUUUGUAUACUCCCUGUAUACUUAGAGGGCACUAGUUUGGUGUUUCCUCUUUUUGUUUAAUAUAUUUCUUUUUACCUAUCAAAAAAAAAAAAAAAAAACUAUUUUUGAGAACUUUUUUCAAUAACCGUUUUUUAAGAUUUAUUUUCAAAAAAAAUUCCUAAACAAAGCCUUAACCUUCAAGGAUCUAAAACUUUGCACUAAGUUUGGUGUUUUAUUGUUGGAUUUUCUUAGUCUUGCAAGCUUUAUGAUGAUCUUGCAAUAUUUUCUUUAAUUUACUAUUCAUUUUACCUGAGCAUUAAGUUUGGCUAAGUAUUGAAGAAUAACCUUGGCAUACAUUCAACUUCUUUUAUGGACAAAGGAAUGGAGCUAGAUCAGACUUUCUUUAAAUUUAGUCAAUUCUGAUUUACGUGACUCAUAAUCAGAUUGUAAAACAUUCAAAUUUUUUAACAAGGUACCUUGCUCAUUUUCAAGGUAAGAGAUUUUUUUCAAGCAAGGAAGUCUUCUCUCAUACUUCUUUUAUUCUCAUCCAACUUUCACAAUUUUAAUCUUAAGGCUUCCUUGGCAAUCUCAAAAGACAACUUUUCUUCCAAAUAUGUUGUAUCAUGAGAUGAACCUUCAAAAUUUUCAGAUUCAAGAUCAGUUUCAAAUUUAACAUUUUUCUUUUCAUUGCAAAGUGAUAUAGAAGGUAACAAGUAUAUCAACAAUUUCGUCAGGCUCAUCAUGCUCAAAAGACACAAAUAUCAUCAAUGUCAUGUGACAAUAAAUCAUAAUUAUGUUUAUGCAUGUUUCUAGCAACUUAAUGCAAUGAAAUUUGUACAUUCUUCAUCAAAAUCAUACCAAAUUACUUCUAUGACUUUAUCCUUUUGACAUUCAAGAAAGUGACCUUUCUUGACACAAUAGAAACUUUGAAUCAACUAGAUCUUUUUUGUGCUUUUUAAUCUUUUUAUCACAUUUCUUUUCCCUUGUUUAAUCAAAUAGGUUAUCCUUUGUUUCUGGAAGCUUUUUGAACUUUUUGAAACUUUAUCAAGCCUAUAAAUUUCCAAUAUUGGUCCUUUUUUAUUCCUAUUCUGAUUUAGAAGCAUGUUUAUCUACUCCUAGUGCAAUAUUAAUGUUUCUUUUUCUUAGGAACACUUGGAGUCAUCUCCAAUUGAAGGAAGCCAACUAUCUCAUCUGGCUUUAUUGAAUCAACAGUGUUCCAUUCCUCUAUUGUUAUGACCUUAGGUCUAAAACGAUCAAAGGGGAUCUUAACAGUUUUUCGAGUAACCUUGGAAUCAGGUAGAGGCCUACAUAGAUUGAAAGUUAGCAUUCACAAUGUCCAUGAUUUCAAUAAUAUAUUAAGAAAAUAAUUUUGUUGUGAUCAUUUGAAAUUCAUUACUUCACCUAUCCCAACUUUACAUAGUUUUACCUACCCUAGUGGAUAUACAUCCAAUCUCUAUUUAGCACCUUAUCAGGAUAUCAACAAAAUUGAACAGAACUCCAAUCUCUAUUAGACUUCAUUUUCAAGAAGUAUAUCAGUUGCACCUUGGAGUGAGUAUAAUUAUCUCCUUUGAAGUAUGGAGGUCUACCUAUAGAGGUUCCUUCUCAGAGAAUUUCCAUCUUAAGAGAAUAUAGUUUAUCCAUAUUGAGAACAUGAGCAAACAUGUUUUGACACAAUUUAUGAGUUUUUAAGAGAGUAUGCAAUGAACUUGAGAUCUCUUUUAGAUUAUCAAAUAACAUAUGCACAUGAAUGUGAUUGCGUGAUUAGCACAAGGUCAUAGACUAAAAUGUCUCUAAUGAAAUCUCAGCAAACAAGCACACAAAUAUUGCACAAGAUAUAACAUGAAAAAUCUCUAAGUGGAGAAAGGAAAAUAAAUAAAUAAAUAACAGUGGGUGCCUUUGUUGUUGCAAAUCCACUAUGAAUAUAAAUCCAGUUUUGCCUACAAGUCCUCCAAGAUCAAUCACCAAUCCCCUUAAGGAAUCCUCAAAGUGAUUAUUUCUUCAAUCCACACCUCGUUUUGAUAUGCUUCAAUACGGCUCAUCAUGUACUCACCACCAAUCUCUCACCAUAGCCUCCUUCAACUCUCUUCAAUUACCACGAGUUUUCUUCUGCUCUACUAAUUACAUUACAACAGAAUCACCUUCAUUAUCUCAUUGAAGUGAUCUCCAAAAACUAGAAAACAAAAAUUCCAUUUGCAAAGCAACUUCUUCAUAUAGAUUCAGAGAACCAAAAUAAGAAGAUGUUUUCACUUGUAGCAACAUCUUCAUGUAGAUUCAGAGAACUCAAAUUGUAACUUCAAAUUCACUCUUAGAAUCUCAAUUAAGGUAAAGCUCACAUUUCAAAAUCUCCCACCAAGAGUUUCACUUACUCUUCCUUUUUGAAAUGAGAGUAGAACCAACUUAGUGCCAAGGGACAUAAGGCACACUCUUAUUGGCCUAUUGUCAUGCAAAUUUCUAGGUGGAGGAGAAUCCAACUAACUAAACAAAUGUUUUUUCGCUUCUGGCCAUUUGUUUCUAUGGUCUAGAAAAAUAUGUCCUAGAUGAUUCCCAUUGUUUCAACUCUUUCAUGAAAAAUGCUUCUCAAAUCACUCACUCCAGUCUUUCAUUCACAUUACCUGUGAACUCCAAUCUGCAGUAGUGAAAUCCUAUCAAAAGACUUGGAUUGAGUUCCUGGUUCUCGGUUGCCUAGCUCUAGCAAACCAGGACUUCUGUUAGCAACCUGGAACAAGUAGCUUAUCCUUUCAAUCCCAUUUUCAAGCUCAAUUCCCUCCACCAGUGAAAACAAAUGGUCUUAUAUAAUCAACUCCAUUCACUCCAGGGCUAUACAGGAAACACUUGUGAGCUGGCAGGCAGUAGCUCCUCCCGACUCACCAUAUUUCCAACCCCAUUUGCUCCAUCAAAUUCAUAAGAAGCUAACAAAAUAACUAGCAUUAUAUAUCAUACAAUAUCUAUGCUAG
rnacentral:lncRNA from 1 species